rnacentral:lncRNA from 1 species
UUUUUUUUAAACUUCCCUAUUUUUGUUUAAAACCUUCUACGCACGCAAACCCUCACAAACAAAUGACUUGACUAUCUUAAGUGUCAGGCUCCUUUCUUGAAUGGAUAUACUAAACCCUUUCCUGUUUAUAGAAUAUUAAUCAAGAUUAAUCAAAGAACUUCAGAAGAGGAUUUCUUUAAAAUGUGACACAAAAUUCAAAGCUGGAUUGAUUUAUUAGAUAUGGCUACUUUCGAUUUGGUUUGGUUUGCUAGUGUAAUGGAGGAUUGAGCAGAUAUGAAAAUGAAGGUUGGUGAUGUAUAAUUUCUGUUUAAUUUUUGUAGCUGUUUUCUAAUUGAUUCAAUAUAAACAGUAUAGUCAUAUAAUAAAAUGUAGCUGUGCUAGACUACAGUAACAUUUUAGUUGUAUAACUACAGUUGUGCUAGAUUAGAGUUCCAGGUAGGGUUUCAUCUGCUUUUUUAUAAUUGUUUUUGUAUUUUGAAGACUAAAUCAUUUAUGUUUAUUUCACGUUUAUGUUUUACUGUAUCACUCAGACAUAUAUCCAAAAUAUAUUGAUGCAACAGUUACACUUUUAAAUCACUAUUAUUAAACUUAUGUAGUUUAGCAUGUAUCAAUAUUCUUAAAGACUCAGAACACAACUCAUUGGAAAAAGACAUCAGGAUAAUAUGAAACAGUUGGAGCAUUAUAAUGUAAAUAGUUGAAAACUAAAAAAAAAAAAAAAGUGCCAUUAUCUCUCAAUUAAACAUUUUUCAAAAGAAAACCUUUGGAUGGGCUCUACCAGUUUAUUAUUUAUUUAUUUUAAACUCAUUUUAACUUAUUUUAUGAUGUGAAUGAAUUCUUGAAGUAAUGUCCAAACACAUCAGUGAAAGUUUUGUUUCAUCAGAUUGCAGUCUAUUCAUGGAUUUAUACAGUUAAAGACAUAAUAGGUAAUAUCAUGAAAAUUUACUGCAAAUAUGUUCAAAUACAACAUUCUAAAAGUUAUUUUGUGUUUAUGCAGGUACAAAGUGUAGCAACAUCCAGAAAAAUCAAAGUACCAUUGAUAUUAUCUCUAUCUAUAAUCCAGGUAUAUUUCACUUUAGAAGACAUUAAUUGUAAGUAAACAAAACUUAUUUUUUUUCUCAAAAAUGAUUUACUUUAUAUGUCAAUUCAGAAUGGUCUAUUGUAUUUGCUGUGAUUUAGCUACUUAGCAGAAUAAAAGUACUAUUAUAUCCUAAUAAUGAUUCUUGAGAACUUUUAAUAUGCACUAUAUAUUACUGGUUUUGUCAGGUGAGUCUGCAUUUCAAGAGCUAAUCAAAGUGAAUUUUACAAAAAAAUGUACUGGCCUCAAUUAUCAGCUAUGCCUCUUGUAAGAUAAUCACUGUCAUGGACGGCCCACACAGGUCACUCAAUGUUAGAAUCUCUGCAUGGACUUUGAAAACAAUAAGAAAAAACAAUGAGAGAGGUUCUACUGAUAUUUAAUAGUUGAAAGUAUUCAAAAUGCUUGAAAAUCAUGAAAAACACGAUUUAUCGUGAUUUCAUUUAUUUUGUUAUUUUUGACUCUUUUAGUCUGAAUUUUAUUUUAACUUUUGAUUAAACUCAUGGAAGGGUUUCCCAGGAGUUUUUAUGUUUCUUUGUUGUACUAAUCUCUACAUGUAAACCUGUGGUGCUCAUUUUGUAAAUGGUAGAUAUGUGGUAAUGACUCACAUCUGGGGUAGCCUGUCACAACUGAGAUAUAUCAGCAACAACUCAGGUCACCCAGAGGAUUGUACCUUUGUCAAUCGUAAGACUGACAUUUUGUCAGGAGUGCUGGAGUCUUACCUCGUUAGUUCAACAUUCUAUCAGAUUCCGCAAGCUCUCCUUUUAUUUAUGCCUGAAUUCACAUCUGAACUCACGUCUGAAUGAUAUAUCUGCUGGACCUUGUCUGGGACGCUCUAGUGACAUUGCGGAUUGGGCUGUUACAUUUUUUCAACCGCCCGCACAUCAUCUUGCUCUGUAAGAUGACUUUAGCCAAUCUGAGACUAGUCCCACCUGUUUAAACUUUCCUGUCUCACUCCUUAUUGCACUAUUGUUAGCCCAAUGGCGCAUUCUUGUAAUCUUCUGUUAUUCAGUUAUUGGCCCAUCGGCAUUGUUUAUAGUUUAUUCUGACCUCUGUGCUUCCUUAACUUGACAAGUUUCAAAUUAUCCUGAUUUCUUCUGUCCUUGACCUUGGUUAUUGCUUUGACUACUGUAUUCCAUUAAGGUCCGGUAGAUGGAUUGUUUCUCCAUUAUUGUGUACUGUGUUUGUGUCUUUUGGUUCUUACCCUAUCCUGACACAUAUGCAAAUGUCUUUGUAUUCUCCAAAAAUAUAUUUCCCUACCCAACCUACUCCCCCUAACCAUAAUAUUAAAUAAAGGGGGCAAUCAAACUAAUACAUGUAAAAAAAAACCUCAUGUUACCAUUAGAUGUCUUAUAGUUUUCUAAAUUAUUUUUCAGCCUUAAAAAGGCCAAAAUGAAAUCCAUAAUCAUGCAGAGUAAAAAAAUUGUUUGCAAAAAAAGAUGAAAAAUAUCCCAUGUGAGCACCAUAGGGGUUCUGCUCAGAAUUAUCUUACAAGAAGGGGUAAUCCCUUAUAAGGUCAUGCCGAUGCUAUGCAAGCUCAGAGUACUCUGACUGAUUGGCUUACAAGCCAAUCAAUCGCUUUACUGCCCAUGGCUAAGCCCAGAAGGUGUGAUUAGAGUGUCACCCAUUUUUUUUAUGUAAUAGCUCAUGGCCACAGACACUAUCCAUGGACUGUUGGACGACAACAGUUAAGUGAUACCACAUUAAGUAGGACAGGGGCAAAAUCAAACUAAAAAUAUUUUUUUUGCAUACUGCAAUUUAGAUUCUUCCAUUUGGACCUUGCAAAUACCAAAUUAACUUAAGAUAAUUAUACACGUAGAGUUGUCAUUGAAUUUCAAACUAAGGCCUUGAUUACAUUCCCACCAAUACAUCAUAUCAACUCAUGAUACAACUUUCAUCAGUUCAGCUCAAUUUAAAUCCUAAUAUUAAAAGUUCACCGGAAGCCAAUAAAUAUCAGUCUGAACAUCAAGUUCUGUAUCUAUAUUUUUUAAUGUAAAAUAUCAGAUUCUAUGAUUCACUGCUUUUUAUUAAGGACAUAAUUCUCAAUAAAUAGGUUUAAAAAAGCCAACAGCAUACAUUGUUUGUAAUCUAAAAACUACUACAGCACUAAUAGACAGUGAAAUAGUAAAAAACAAACAAAAAAAAAAAAAAAUAAGAAAAGGCCUGUGGAAGUCAAUAUGACCCUCACAUUAGUAGAGGGAGAUUCAUUACCUCCCAUAUGCCCCCACUUGUCUUGCAGUGAAUAGAAGCAUGUCAUCUAAAGAGCAGCAAGUGGUUGCCCAGUCACCUUUAACAUACUGGGGGGACCUGGUAGGGGCUGUUAACUAAAAUUUGUGGAGUGAACAGAUCACUGUCCACCCCUACAAUUAAAUGAUAAAUAUGGGGGGACAUAUUGUACUCUGUGAGCCCCCGGCUUUGACUAGUGUUUGGUGGCUAUUAAAUAAAGUAAGCGCUCAGCUCCCACUCAUUGGGAGAAGGUGGGGGCUAGUAUCUAAAUAUUAACAUAGGGGGAACAAAAUUGGCUCUUUUUUCAUUGCCAAUUAUGAGAUGCCAAAUUAAAUUAUUAUAUAUUGGGAUUUUUUUUUAAAUAGGAAUAUUGCAAUGAUUGUAAUCUUUUUUAUUUUGCCAUCUUGUGUUAAAAAAUGGAGCAGGAGCCAUUUUUAAAAAAUGGGGAGCAGGAGCCAUUUUAAGUUGAAACUAGGGGAUUUAUCAAAAAAUUUAAGGAAAAUGUCAGUGUUCAAAUUACCACCCACUCACUCCACUAGUUGCAGUCAAAUUGUGUUGAAAAAUCAUGCUUGUAAAUAUAGAUUGUUUGCUGCUUUUUUAUUCCAAUAUUGGUCAGUGGCUACUUGAUCUUAGUUAAUAAAAUUAUCAUUUACUGUUGUCCCAUUACCAUGAAUUAUCUUUUUUUUACUAGCUCAUGAUUGGACAGGAGAUGCAGUCCAGGUGAUUGAAUGGACCUCUUGUCCAUCAUGGCAAACUAAGCUUCUUAUUUAUAGAAAAGACCAAACUAGCAUGCUAAAGUCGAGAAGGUAUUUAUCCUAGUUUGUUCCAAAAUUAGAAAGUGCUUCACACUGGGGUUUUGCCUUCUUCUUGAGGCAAAUCUGAUGUGAGAAAAGCUGAAUUUGAUGUACGCAAGUAAUUUUUGAGCCUUUAUAACUAUGUAUUUGCCCCCACUAAGAAAAACAACUAAGAAAAAAAGAAACAAGCCUUAUCUAUUCCAUCCAUUUUUUCUGGUGCCAGAUACAAUACUGUGAACCAUGAGCCAAAACGUGCAUGUUUGGUCUUGUGCAAAUAGGUUCCUCCUGGUAUUCUGACAUGAGGUGGCUCAGAAAAUGGAAUGUUGUCCAUUCACUUGAGCCAAGUCUACCAGAAAUCGUUUAAAUAGGUUAUCAUAGUCAAGAGCACAUGAAACAAUUAAGGAUUAGACUAUUCCUAUUUCCCAAUAAGGACACCCUCAGGGAGACAGAUAUGCUUUGUCAGGAUGGAGAUCAUGAAAAUAGGCCAAUAUUUUCUUAUUUUUUUAAUAUGACUUUUGAAUCAAGGAUCCCUUUAAUUUCAAAUUCUUCAUCAUCAUUGAUGAGAAUAGGAAAUGGUUUUGUUGGACAUCUGGAUGGAUUUAACUUAUCCAUAGGUUUACAACAAUUAUACAUGAAAGAUCUGUAUGGAUUCUAUAGGAAGUUGGUAAAAAUCAUUUACAACAAACAGGAUUAAUUUGAGAUUAAAUUUAGUAUGGACUGAUAAUGGUAUCACGACAUUUUUUUAGAGGGCCGAGAAAGAUUUACGCUUCUUGUAUAAAGUAGAACUUUACCUUCCACUUUAUAUUUGGAACUAGGAUUUUGAUAUAAAUCAGCAAACAUUUAUACUAUUUUUCGAUGUGGGUCAAAGUUUUCUUUAACAAGGACAAAUUGUNNNNNNNNNNNNNNNNNNNNNNNNNNNNNNNNNNNNNNNNNNNNNNNNNNNNNNNNNNNNNNNNNNNNNNNNNNNNNNNNNNNNNNNNNNNNNNNNNNNNCCAGGAUCUGGUUUUUAAAAGGACUAAACCUGAGGAAAGGAAGACUUUGUUAUAUCUGGUGGAAGAAAUGAUGUGUGAAUAAAAUAUCACCUGCGAAGAGUGAUAUUAUUGCAAGCUAGAAGGAUGUCAAUCCCACAAACAGAUAUAGUUCAAGUUCCAUAACAAAAAUGAUGGGUGACAAACAGGAACCCUGAAGAUUACCAUUGGUUAUGUGCAGGAGUGUGGAUAGCUAGCCAGAACUGAGAACUUUUGUAAAAGGCUGUGAAAGCACAACGCUGUGUCCAAAACCACAUUUUUGAAGCAUGUGGGUCAUGUAUUGCCAAUUUAAAAGAAGACAUGUGGGAUCCUAUUUCUACGAACAACCUUUAAAUCUAGAACAUGUCUCACAUUAUGAGACACUGGUUUGUGAGGGACAAAUCCAGCUUUUUCUCAUGAGAAUAUGUGAGGUAAGGAGGAUUUAAUCUGGUUGGCUAACAUCUUUGCAUAGAUCUUAAUGUCAGCAUUCAAAAUGGAGAUUGCAUAAAAGUUUUCACAAGAAGUGGGUGAUUUAUCUUGUUUUGGAAUAGCUAUUAUAUUAGUUGCUAGCAUCUUCCCUGGUAUAUUACUUUUUUUUAAAAUGAGCUAUAGAGAGCUAUAUGAUGAGGAACCAAGAGAUUGGAAUAGGUACUCUAAUACUAGUUAGAAAGGCCAUCAGGCUUUUAGACAGGGGCGUACCUAGAGCAUUUGGCUACCGGGGCGCAUCCUGUGUUUGGCACCCUUCUCCCUUGCCCACUUUAAAAUGUAAAUAACACCCACAAUAUUUUAAAAAAAUGUUUUCAUUUUUAAAAUUUGCCCAAAUCAGUAAAAACAUUUUUUUUAAAUCCUUUCCUGUGCCCUUCUACAAAACCCCUGUCCUGCCCCUGUUCUACAAAACCCCUGCACCCCCUUCCACAAAUCCCCUGCUCAGCCACCCUUAUACAAAAUAGCUGCCCCCUUCUACAAAACUCCUGCACAUCCCUUCCAUAAACCUCCUGCACCACAUUUCCAAAAAAACCUUCCUCUCUCUCUAAAGCCCCUGCUCAUUCCCUUACAAUAGAAUUUAUUUUUUUAUACAAUAAUAUUAGCAACAAUCUUCAGAGUCCAGCCUUAGAGACAUAGUCACUCGCACACAGUCACACAAACAGUUACAGCAGUGACACAUACAAUUACAAACAGUCUCACACACACACAGUUACAGGCAGGCAGUGACACACACAGUUGCAGACAGACAGUCACACACACACACAUACAGUUACAGGCAGACAGUCAUACACACACUGUUUUACUGUCUGUAACACAGUUACAGGCAGACAGUCACACACACAGUUACAGGCAGACAGUCACACACACACAUACACAUUUACAGUCACAGACAGGCAGUCACACACACACACACACAUUUACAGGCAGACAGUCACGCACACAGUUACAGGCAGAGAGUCACAGGCAGACAGUUACACACACACACACACACACACACACACUUACAGGCAGACAGCCACACAAAGAGAGUCACAGGCAGACAGCCACACACAGUUACAGGUAGACAGUCACACACACUCACACACACACACAGAGUUACAGGCAGACAGUCACACACACACACAGAGUCACAGGAAGACAGUCACAUGCAGAGUUACAGGUAGACAGUCACACACACACACAUAGUUACAGGCAGUCACACACAUACACACUCUCUCACACACACACACACACACAGUUACAGGCAGACAGUCACACACACAUAGUUACAGGAAGACAGUCCCACACACAGAGUCAGACAGUCACACAGUUACAGGCAGGCAGUUUCUCACACACAUUCACAAACACACACCCACAGGCUGACAAUCUCACACACAUACACACUUUCUCUCUCUCUCUCUUACUUACAGACAGUAUGGGCUGGAGGAGGAGUGGAUUCACUGAGGUCCCUCCCUGGAUUCUGUUAGUUGGGGAGGCAGGGACUCCUUCUUGCUUACCCUUGAUGUGCAACAGUAGGAGGCUGUGUUUAGCUCUACGCCUGUCUGUUUUAGCUCCGCCGCCACUUUUUUUACAUGCAGCCUAUUUUCAAGUUCUGCGGACCCUGCGUGUGUGAGCUGUGUCGGCCGCACAUCCUAAGGCCAUCCCUGGUCAUGACACCCAACCUCCCCCCUACCUAGUGGCACCUGGGGCAGACCCAUCCACCCCGCUCCCACUUAGUAUGCCACAGCUUUUAGAAAAGGCAUUUAGAACCAAGAAGGUUUCUUCAGUUGAGAUUGGGAGACCAAGAGAUUUGGCUUAUCCAAAAAUAAGCUUAGGAACUUGAACAUAUUGGUUGAUUCCAUUGACUGAGGGAGUGUGAGUGGUAUGAUCAUUGUUUAGCUGAUGUAUAGCACAGUAACAUGCAUCAACAGUUUUGACUAAUUGGGCAGGAUUAACCUCUUAAGGACACGACAUGUGUGACAUGUCAUAAUUCCCUUUUAUUCCAGAAGUUUUGUCCUUAAGGGGUUAAACACCUUCUCGCCAUCCUGAGAUACAAUAAAGGGAUUUUGUGCCUUUAUUAUUUAGCCAGGUAUUUUCUUGCCUUGUUGUCUUGAGUAAAAUGUGUUAAUUUUAAUUUGUGUAGGAAUCGUUCAUUCUAUAGCAAUUGGAGUGAUUGCAUUUCAUUACAUAGAUCAGCAAUUUUAGAAGCUACUAGAACAACCCUGCUGGAUAAAUUGCCCUCUAAUAUAUGCUUUAUGUGCAAAUCUGGUCAUGGAAACAUUAGUGGAGUUAUAAGAGUUCAGCUGGAAAUAUUUAAUUUGACUGGAGAGAAUUUUUGGAAAUAUUUUUGUCAGGCAACCGAAAUUAAUUUUGUCCCUACCAGAUGCAACAGUUAGAAAUGAAGGAGGUCAGAAUAGGAGUAUAGUCCAACCAAGUAAUAAAACCAAUGUUAGAACUUAGUUGCAAUUUUGGAUUGCAAUGUUUGGGUAUGUUUUGUUGGCCUCAGAGUAAUAAGUAAAGUAACACUCUUCCGGUGCAAGUUCUCACCAUGCGUCUUGAAAGCUGAACAAAUUUGACAAGUCAGUAAAUAUUUUACUCAGUUCUUUUGUUGAAUUAGUUAGUGGUAUGGAAAUUGAGUCUCAGGUGUCAAAGCAAUAAUUUGGGGCACAGUUGCAGUCAUCACAUAGUCUGCUUUGCUUCAUUUGUUGAAUUUUGGUGAAACCGUGUGUAAGAAAAGUAAUUUGAUUGUCAUCAAGGCAGUAAGAAAAUACUUUCAUAAGUAGUUCAUUGUUGAGGGGCCCACUAAAAUUAAAGGUCUACUUUUAUAGCUUUCAUAUUUUUGUGUAAGAUAAAAAGUCCAGUUCUUAUGGAAUAAAAUAGUAACACGUUUGGUUUUGGAACGUGAGCAUGCAUGCUGUUGCAUAAUGCAUGGUGCAUGGUAAGGAUACAAAAUUGGGUUUCUUGGCAGCAGAUAAUUGCAGUUUUGACUAUUGCCUCCCAGAUGGCAUGACGUUUUCACCUUGGAUUCCUGAUACUUCAAUAAAUCCAUCUUGUCUUUCACAUGCUGCAGGUUUUCAGUGCCAGAUGAUACAAAGUANNNNNNNNNNNNNNNNNNNNNNNNNNNNNNNNNNNNNNNNNNNNNNNNNNNNNNNNNNNNNNNNNNNNNNNNNNNNNNNNNNNNNNNNNNNNNNNNNNNNGCCACAUAGCAUCACAGAACCACCACCAUGCUUAAAUGUAGGCAGAGUGUUGUUUUUAGCGUACGCUUCAUUCUUUUUCUUCCAGGCAUUCUGCUGAUCCAUUCCAGUUUUGUUUCAUCUCCACAGAACAGAAUUCCAAAACGUCUGUGGCUUAUUUGUAUGAUUUUGAGCAUAUUGGAAACAACUUUUCUUGUGCUUUUAGGUCAUUAGUGGUGGAUGUCUUCAAGUUCUUGCAUGGAAACCUUCUGUGUUUAGUAUGUCCCUUACUGUGCUUAUUGAAACCUCAGUGCCUGUUUCCUUCAAGUCUUGCUGCAGGUCUUUUGCAGUCACUCAAGGGUUUUACACAACCUGCCUUCUUAAAAAUCUGGUUGCGGCCAUUGAGGGCUUCCUCUUUCUGACCCAUCCAGGAGGUGUAACCAUUGUUCCUACAACUUUGACCUUGCAAACUGUGCUUACAACAGUGUCUCUAUGAACAUCCAGUGCCUUUGCGAUCUUUUUGUAUCCUGUUACUUGUUUGUGAAAUUAUGAUCUAUUCCCUUAACUUUGUUGAUCAUUCUUUUGACUGCCAUAUCUAACAUACAGUCAAACAUGACACUCAGCAAACCCCUAGCCAGUCCAGGUAUUUCAAGUGUUCCAGCUCAAGCACACCAUUCAUGCUAAUGAAGCCCUUGAUAAGUUGCAUCAAGUGUGCUUGAGAUAACACCUGUUUUGCAUAUUGGUGUUGGUGAGAGGGAUUCUAUUCAGGAGGUUGAAUAAUUUUAGACUGGAGAAGUCAUUAUACUUUGGAUUUUCAGUUGAAUUUGGAGAAAGCACUUGAAAUAUUCAUUGUGUUAAGCUAUUUCAAUUGCUUUUGUUUGAUCUUUUUUAAUUGCAAACAGCUGAAAGUGUAAAUUUUGACAAUAAACCUAAUUUUCAAUGGUGGUUGAAUAAUUUUGAUUAUAACUGUAUAACUUAAUGCUGUUGCUUUAAGAAGUAAGGCUUUUUGAGCAACGAAGGCACCCAGCCCCUAGUUGACUGUAAAGGUAGUCUCAGAGUAUUACAGUAGGUGUAAAGAAUUGUCCUUAAAGCAACAUUACCUCCAUCCCUUUUCUAACUCCAAUACAUGUUCAGUUGAGGUGACACCGGUAAAGAGUUUGGGUAGUCCUCAUAAACCAAGUUACAGGACUAGAGAUUUUUCCUUUACCUUGUCAGAGUGAGUAUGGUCCUGAUAGCACAGCCAAAAGUUGGUGUGGCAACUCCAUUGAUAAGAGAUAUUGUGGUUGCAGAGUACCUUGCUGAAUAUCACAAAUUCAUGCCUCUUGGUCAUUGUGCCAGCCGACAGAUCUGCAACAGGGAGAGUCCGUUGUAUGAUUCUGGGAAGGUAUGGAGCUUGCGGGCUACUGCCAUGAGAGACUACUUAAAGGGGUAUGAGUGAAACCUCACACAGACGUCAUGGGGCACUUCAGAUGCCAUGCAACAAUAGUUAGGAAGAUGGUGAUCUCUGUCCAUAUGCCAGUCCAUCUCUAAAUGGUCUGGAAGUAUUGCCUUAAAAAGAGAGAUGAGUUAUGGUUGCAAUACUGCCUGGAAAAUACUCUCUGGCACCCCAUGAAUCCUAAAAAUUCUAAACCCUGGAGCAGUCCUCUCCAUUGGCCACUUUUUGCAGCAGGGUGUUAUUGUUAGCUUCUAAUGAGGUCAGUUUAUCAACAACUCCUUUAUGGGCAUCACAUAAUUCCUCCAGAAAGCCUGCAAAUCCUGGUGGAGGUCUGUGAUCAUGGAUUAAAAAAAUCAGUUUGGAGCAUGGAUCACAAGUCCUUUAUCAUGCAGUGAACCUUGAAUUCUGAAUCUGGGUAGACCUCUGAGAUGCUGUGAGUAUCCAGGAGCUAUAAAUUGGGAAUCAGAUACAGGUAAUAAAAAUGGAUGCAAAAUGGAAUUCAGAUAAUAAGCAAUAAUUAUAUAGACAAGUAUAAUGUUCCGAGUAAUAUGUAGGUUACUUGUUGAUAAAAUGUCUACAGUUGAAAAGUCCAGAAUAAGAUGUAAAACUAAAAUUGCAGAAUGUGGAUAUACAAUCAGUCCCAAGGGAUCUAUGAGUCCUUGAUUUAUAUCAUAAAUGACAUUAGCCCUGCUUGUGAAAACAACACAGGGCUAAUGGUAUCUAUGCCUCUUGAUAUACUUUUAUAUGUAUAAAAGAUAUUUAAAGUCUGUGACCGGGCAUAUUAGUACAAGGAACUAAUUGCCCAAAUUAGAUCUUUGGUAAUGUCAAAGUGAAAAAUAAAGGCAUUGAUACCAUCAGUCCUGUGUUGUUUUCACACGCAGGGCUAAGGUCAUUUAUGAUAUAAAUCAAGGACUCUUAGAUUCCUUGGGACUGAUUGUAUAUUCCACAUUCUGCAAUUUUAGUUUUGCAUCUUAUUCUGGACUUUUCAACUUUAGACAUUUUUAUCAACAAGUAACCUACAUAUUACUCUGAACAUUAUACUUGUCUAUCUCUUUAUUGCUUAUUAUCUGAAUUCCAUUUUGCAUAAAUUUUUAUUACCUGUACCCUACGGCUCUGUGAGGAAUUGUCGGUCAUAAAUGUAGCAGGAGAAGAUCCUCACCUGCUCGAGAAUUUCUGAAGACCUUGUAAGCAUAUGAAGCAUAAGUCCUUUGGGGAGGUCUGGUCGGACGGAGCGCGAUCACCAUUGUGCCUCGACUUAUACUGUGACGAGUGGUAAUAUCCAAAUAAGUCGGCCCCUGUGAGAUGUGUCUCCCCUGGGAGACGGGUUGAUUUUCUGUGAAGAAGACAGGGAUCGAAGGAGGCUACAUGUUGUCUGAUAAACAUAAGUUGGUCCAUCCCGGGGGAUGUGAAACCUGACCACCUAAUCUGUGGUUACCUGCAGUAGGGUGCAGCAGAUCUAGUACUUCUUUAUCAAUCCAUGUAUUGUGAAGUAUAGGACUAAGAAGUCUAGGUAUACAAUGUACAGGGUUGCGAUGGUGCCGUGAAUAGUCUACGAAUCCUCUGAGCGAAUAGUCUUCUACAAGUCUGGAGGUUCCAGCUGGUUCUCGGAUGAACGUGGGUGUUGACGAGUUUUCAUUUCCCUGGAGUGAUCUGAAUGAGGUUCUCCCGGAAGAGAGUGUCUCGUCUUCCCCGCCUGUAUUCAUUACUUCCGAGCUACUGGAUCGGGAAGUAGAGGAUGUCCCCUGGGUAAGGUGGUCUAGUGGGAACUGGGUAAGGUGGUCUAGUGGGAAGAACACAAGUCGGAUGACUACGUGAAAGUGGUCUUCCCUAGGAUUGAGUGCCUUUCACCUAGAUGUGGUGAAAUCCCCUGUGGAUGUAGUAGGAGGUAUAUUGAUUGUAUCUGUGCGUACUGUGUUCUCUGUCCGCUUAUCUGGAGCACCAUUGGUUGACUCUCGCUCUAUAUGGGUAAUAAAGCUAGUGGUAGCGGAUCUCGGGUCAGAUGUCCCGAAGCGGUCGACGACCGGCUCUGUUGCCAACUGGUUCCAAAGAAUCCCUUAUAAAGGUAAUCGCAUAAUACCUCCCUCCUAGGGGUCUAAUAAGUUCCCUUCUGAACUUUGUUCCUUGUGCAUGGGGUUCUGACUAUCUUGGCGCCCAGUACUGCCGACCAUCUGACAGUGCGUAAUGGGCAUCCUAUGGGAGAGGCCAACACUGGGGUUUCCUGCGAGGAGCAGAAACUGUUUUUUUUUUUUUAUAUUUUGUUUUUUAUAUUUGGUUCGUCACCAACGUUACACAUUGUUUACACCAGAUUUGCAACUACAGGGAGUGCAGAAUUAUUAGGCAAGUUGUAUUUUUGAGGAUUAAUUUUAUUAUUGAACAACAACCAUGUUCUCAAUGAACCCAAAAAACUCAUUAAUAUCAAAGCUGAAUAUUUUUGGAAGUAGUUUUUAGUUUGUUUUUAGUUAUAGCUAUGUUGGGGGGAUAUCUGUGUGUGCAGGUGACUAUUACUGUGCAUAAUUAUUAGGCAACUUAACAAAAAACAAAUAUAUACCCACUUCAAUUAUUUAUUAUUACCAGUGAAACCAAUAUAACAUCUCAACAUUCACAAAUAUGCAUUUCUGACAUUCAAAAACAAAACAAAAACAAAUCAGUGACCAAUAUAGCCACCUUUCUUUGCAAGGACACUCAAAAGCCUGCCAUCCAUGGAUUCUGUCAGUGUUUUUGAUCUGUUCACCAUCAACAUUGCGUGCAGCAGCAACCACAGCCUCCCAGACACUGUUCAGAGAGGUGUACUGUUUUCCCUCCUUGUAAAUCUCACAUUUGAUGAUGGACCACGGGUUCUCAAUGGGGUUCAGAUCAGGUGAACAAGGAGGCCAUGUCAUUAGAUUUUCUUCUUUUAUGCCCUUUCUUGCCAGCCACGCUGUGGAGUACUUGGACGCGUGUGAUGGAGCAUUGUCCUGCAUGAAAAUCAUGUUUUUCUUGAAGGAUGCAGACUUCUUCCUGUACCACUGCUUGAAGAAGGUGUCUUCCAGGAACUGGCAGUAGGACUGGGAGUUGAGCUUGACUCCAUCCUCAACCCGAAAAGGCCCCACAAGCUCAUCUUUGAUGAUACCAGCCCAAACAGGUACUCCACCUCCACCUUGCUGGCGUCUGAGUCGGACUGGAGCUCUCUGCCCUUUACCAAUCCAGCCACGGGUCCAUCCAUCUGGCCCAUCAAGACUCACUCUCAUUUCAUCAGUCCAUAAAACCUUAGAAAAAUCAGUCUUGAGAUAUUUCUUGGCCCAGUCUUGGCGUUUCAGCUUGUGUGUCUUGUUCAGUGGUGGUCGUCUUUCAGCCUUUCUUACCUUGGCCAUGUCUCUGAGUAUUGCACACCUUGUGCUUUUGGGCACUCAGUGAUGUUGCAGCUCUGAAAUAUGGCCAAACUGGUGGCAAGUGGCAUCGUGGCAGCUGCACGCUUGACUUUUCUCAGUUCAUGGGCAGUUAUUUUGCGCCUUGGUUUUUCCACACGCUUCUUGCGACCCUGUUGACUAUUUUGAAUGAAACGCUUGAUUGUUCGAUGAUCACGCUUCAGAAGCUUUGCAAUUUUAAGAGUGCUGCAUCCCUCUGCAAGAUAUCUCACUAUUUUUGACUUUUCUGAGCCUGUCAAGUCCUUCUUUUGACCCAUUUUGCCAAAGGAAAGGAAGUUGCCUAAUAAUUAUGCACACCUGAUAUAGGGUGUUGAUGUCAUUAGACCACACCCCUUCUCAUUACAGAGAUGCACAUCACCUAAUAUGCUUAAUUGGUAGUAGGCUUUCGAGCCUAUACAGCUUGGAGUAAGACAACAUGCAUAAAGAGGAUGAUGUGGUCAAAAUACUCAUUUGCCUAAUAAUUCUGCACUCCCUGUAUAAACAAUAGAUAUAUAAUAACAACUAUUAAGCACAGUCAUAUUCCACGAGGAGGGUAGCAUUAUAAACCAUUCCAAGUCAUGCAGGCCUCAAUCUAAUUAGAGAAGGGGAGUAUGAGAUUGACAGAAGUGCGGCGCUAACAACCAGGCCGUCAACUAGUCGAAAAUAUAGCUAUGGUGGUUGCCGUGGGUGGUUGCCGUGGCGGGAGGGGGAGGAGGAGAGGGGUAACAACUGGAUAAAGGUAAGGGUAGGGAGAGAGGUUGAGAUGUCCCUUCACCAGGUUGGGUUCUGUGUUGGCCCGCUUAGGCUUGUUCCCUCAGCUACUGUUACUCAUGUGGAGUUGAGAUUGGGUGGGUUACCCUGUGUUUACUUGCCCUGCUCAUCUGGGGUGGAGUGGUCUGCUGUUCUAGGGCAUUGUGGGCCUCUGUAUCCCAGCCCUGACCAUUUAGACCAGAUCAGGUUGUACUGUGCUAGCGUGCCCUGGAUCGUAUGCGCUAUUUUCUCGAGUUGCUGCGUGUGAUUUACUCUGCUAACUAUCACCGCUAUUUCCGGAGCUGAGGUUGAUUUCCAGAGGGAGGCAAUGCAGUGCUUGGCUGCUAAAGUAAUGUGGGUGGUCAGCACCGCCUCAGGAUGCGUUAGUGAUUUGGGAAGCAUGUGUAGUAGGUACGNNNNNNNNNNNNNNNNNNNNNNNNNNNNNNNNNNNNNNNNNNNNNNNNNNNNNNNNNNNNNNNNNNNNNNNNNNNNNNNNNNNNNNNNNNNNNNNNNNNNCCUCCGGAGUGAAUGGUAUCUUUUUCUGUAUACUACUUUGGAUUAGGGAUUGUACCUGCCCCCAAAAGGUGUGUAAUACAGAGCAUUGCCAGAAUGUAUAACUCAGAGUACCCAUCUGCUUGCAGCAGCGCCAGCAUAUUUGUUGUGCCCAUGGGUAUAUAAGUGCCAGCUUCUGCGGGGUAAGGUACAACCUCAUCUGGAGUUUAUAAGCCACUUCUACAUGAUCUAGGCAGUGUGUGGCUCUUUUUACGAGUGCCAUUGCUGCUAACCAUCUACUCCUAUCUAGUGUGCAGUUGAGUUCAGUUUCCCAGUGCACCAUUUAACUUAACUUAUCAGGUUUGUCCACCCCUAAGUGUUUGCGAUAGCAUAGGGAAAGCGGUUUUGCUUGAGUUUUGCGAUUAUGACACAGUAAGUCUAGUAUGUCUGUCUCUCCGAUAUCGGGCGCUGCUUGAGUGACUCCCUGUACUAUGUGCUUAAUACGUAGGUAUGUGAAGAGUUCCCUACCAGUGAGGAGGAAAGUUCGCUGAAGUUCAGGGAACUGCCUGAUCUCCUUGCCCUCCAUGAGUUGGGACACCCUCACUAUUCCCCUCUCUGUCCAUUUUUCUAGAGCCAGGUCGUGUGUGAGGUACUUUAGGCUAGUCAUGGGGGCAUACAUCAUCAGAGGUUGGCUAGCAGUUUUGGGGCCCACUUGUGUCAUGUGCGGAGAGAGGUAUUGUGUGGGUGUGAUUUGGGUGGGACCCAGAGUAGGUCCAAUAGACCGUGGGGCGUAAUGCUUGCGGUUUCUAGCUGAUACCACAGGGGGCAUCUUGGGGUCAGCAGCAACCAUGCUGUUUGGGAUAGGUUUGUGGCUAUAUAGUAUUUGGAAAUGUUGGGUACACCCAGUCCCCCACCCCCCAUGACCAGGGUUGUGCUUGCUGUAGAAACCCUUGGUGGUUUCUUCUUCCAUAUAUGCACAUUUAACAGACGCUGGAAUCGUUGCAGUAGCACCUUUGGAAUCUCAAUAGGGAGGGCCCUGAAGAGGAAUAGUAUUUGUGGGAGUAUGAUCAUCUUUAUGGAGUUUAUCCGUCCCAGCCAUGAAGUGUUCUUAGCCCCCCAGCUCUCCAGCAGCGUCUCCGUUUUAGUUAGUAAGGUGUCAUGGUUGUGUCGGAGUAGGCGGCGUUGCGAGGGUGCUAAUUUUGUGCCUAUGUAGGAGAGAGUAUCUUUUCGCCAGUCAAACGGAUGUUGGNNNNNNNNNNNNNNNNNNNNNNNNNNNNNNNNNNNNNNNNNNNNNNNNNNNNNNNNNNNNNNNNNNNNNNNNNNNNNNNNNNNNNNNNNNNNNNNNNNNNAUUUGCAGAGUUCCAUAUAUACUUUAUUUGGGGCAACAGGAGGCACAAGAUUUAUAGAAAGGUUUUGUACCUUCCCAUGGUGAGGGGCGGGGGGUAGCUAAUGCUCUUAAAUCUUCUAUUGUAUUAUUGGUUUGCCCAACUGGCAUAACUGGCUCUUUGGCAAUCAACUGCUGAGGAAUGUAGGUGGCUAGAUUUGGAAGCUUGCAUCAUGGCUUCUGAUUUGCUCCAAUUUUAUAUGUGGCAAUUAUAUAUGUGAUUGGAUAGGUUUUCUCUUGUCUUCUCCAUGACUCAUUUCCUUACAGAAAAGAUUUACCCCAGGGCAUGUGUCCUAGGGACAUUGGUGGACUAGAGAAUGUCGCCCUUUGGAGGUUGCAUCAGUUAUACCAGGGUGGUUCUAUAGUUCUCUCCUCAGAACUUAAAAGAACAUAAACAUGUAUUCCUGAACUUAUAGUGUUAAAACCACCAUCUACUCCCCUACCAUCCCCCUGUUACCUUUCUAAUCUUACAUUGAUUCCACUCUGCUGCUGCUGGCUCUGCAUAUGAUCUGUCUGCUUGGCUGACAUCAUCAGAAGUGUCUAUUAAAGACAACCAUAAUGUUUUUCUAUAGGAAAGCAUUGUAUUGGCUGAGAGUGUCAAGGAGGCAGGUCAGAGUCAGAACCAGCACAAGCUAAACACAGAUCACAGAUAGAAAUGCAUUGAAUCAAUGCAGCUAUAUGAGAAAAGUUCAGUGUCUGCAUGCAUAGGGUGGAAACACAGAAUGACAGUGCUGCACACUGUGCAGCCCUGCCCCAGGAAGCACCUCUAGUAGCCAUAUGAGGAGUGACCAGUGGAGGUAUCCUUAGGUUGUAACGUAAACAGUGAAUUUUCUCUGAAAACACAGUGUAUACUGCAAAAAGCCUGAAGGGAAUGAUUAUACUCACCAGAACAAAUACAAUAAGCUGUAGUUGUUCUGGUGACUAUAGUGUCUUUUAAGAAGCUGGCUCCACUCUCUUACUAUAGAUAUUUACAGCUUAGGAACUGUGCCUGUCUGUAAAUGUAACAUUUCUAUAUUACUAUUAACAAACCAAAAAUAUAAUUUUAUGAGAAGAUAUUGAUUCUUUUAGCUCACCUGUGAAAUCUCAAGUUAGGUUCAAUUUGUGUGAAGGCAAAUUACAAACUUUAAAGGAUUACUAUAGUGUCAGUUUGGACUAUAUAAUCCUUAGGGACCCCCUCCCUCAGAGCCUCCCUCCAGCUGAGCUGACGGGGUUAAAACCCCUUUAGCCACUUACCUUUAUUUAGCACCGGGCUCCCUCAGUGCUGGUGACCUCUCCUCCUCUAUAGACGCCAGCUCCAGAGUGGAGCUGAAUCCGCAUGCACGGCCAGAGCCUUGCGCGCCUUAAAAACACCCAUAGGAAAGCCAUUCUCUAUCCUAUGGACGUUCUGCGUGCUCAAUGCAAUUUUUGACAUUGAGGGUUGGGCAAGCGCCUCUAGCGGCUGUCAAGAAGACAGCCACUAGAGGCUGGAUUAACCCUGAAGUGUAAACAUAGCAGUUUCUCUGAAACUUCUAUGUUUAAAUCUGAAGGGUUAAAACCUGGGGGACCUGGCACCCAGACCACUUCAUUAAGGUGAAGUGGUCUGGGUGACUAUAGUGGUCCUUUAAUUCAAUAAAAUAAACUCUUUUUAUAUGUCAAGUUAUGUUUUUUUUCUAAAAACAACAAUAUAAGUUGCAUAAUUCAAUUGCAACACUUUCCUAACUUUUGAAAAACCCGUGAGAUAAAAAAAAAAAAAAAAUACGCUGUGGGAAAAUCUACAAACUACUAAUAUGAAAACAGAAACUAUACUUUACUGGUUGGGGAUUUUUCUUUAUUAUGUAAUUAAAUGUAAAUUUCAAAUAUAUUUAUAUAUUUAUAUUUUAAAAUGGGAUACAAGCCACUUAAAAAGUUAAGGAGCUGUACUGAAGAUAAAAGUGAAAAUUAUAGAUGCACUUUUAAUUAAAAAACUCUAUACGGUAGAAGCUACCAUAUAGGUUCCAUAAUAUGUGAGAACAUUUUUAUCUUAAUUUAUCUUAUGUACAGUUAGAUCCGGAAAUAUUUGGAUACUAAUACAUUUUCCAUAAUUUUGUCUCUGUAUGUCAUCACAAUGGAUUUGAAACAACCAAAAUGCAAUUGAAGUACGGACCUUCAACUUUAAUUCAAGAGGUUGAACAAAAAUAUUAUAUGAAUCAUUUAGGAAUUGCAACCAAAGAAAAAAAAUAAGGAAGUGAAACCAUUUUCAUACUGUCAUGGUACCUGUUGUGUCUGCCUCAGAAGAGGUCAGGCAUCUGGACAUUGUCCCUCGGGAUGGGGCAUGUGCACCUGAUUCUUUCAGUCAUUUCGGCCAUUUACAAGCCGGCCCAAUAGCCCUGCCUCCUUUUAAGACACGGCGCUCGGUAGCCGACGUCAUGACGUCAAUGACGUCAUGAACCUCCAAAGACUUUGAAUCAGGACAUUUUGGGGGCGUGGUCAUCAAUUAAGGAACCAAGGUAUAAAAGAGACUCAUUUGCAAUGAGACGUUGCCCUGUCGUGGUUCUAGCUUGUCUGGUCCCUCAGUGCUCUUCUUACUAUUGUUUAUUUGGUUCUUGACUUGGCUUUUUCUUAUCGACUUUGCUACCUUCUUCUACCUAUGUACUCGGCUUGGCUUUCGCUUACCGGUCUUCUCGUUUCCUCGACCUCGGCUUGUCCCUGACCAUUCUUUGUCUUGUCUGACGUUAGUCUGGCCAUUCUAAGGUCCGGUAUACGUACCUUUUGCUGUUAGCAUUCUGCGUGUUGGAUCCCUGUCACAAUCCUGACACAUACACAGUGCCCUUAUUUCAGGGGCUCAAAUGUCAUUGAAAAAAUGAAUACAAUCAUAAAUAUAAUGUCAAUUUUUAAUACUUUGUUUAAAAUCAUUCGUAGGCAAUGACUGCUUGAAGUCUGAAACACAUGGACAUCACCAAAUGCGGGGUUUCCUCCUUUGUGAUGCUUUGAGACGCCUUUACUACAGCUGUCUUUAUGCCUGAAGUUUUGUCUUCAACAAGUGAAAUGCAUGCUUAAUCGGGUUGAGAUUACCUGACUCACUCAACGUUGCAGAAUAUUCCACUUCUUUGCCUUAAAACCUACUGGGUUGCUACAAAUGAUGUAGUAUGCUUUAGAUCAUGAGCCAUUCCAAGCUUACUCCAUUCUUCCCAUAUUUCUGGUAUAGGUUGAUCUUAGUUUAACCUGUCCAAAGAAUGCUGUUCAAGAACUGGGCAAGCUUUUUUUAGAUUUUUUUUUGGCAAAGUUUAAUCUGGCCUUUGUAUUCUUGAGGUUUAUGAACGGUUUGCACCUUCUUCACUUGACUUUAUGUUGUGAAGUUUUAGUUUGUUUUGCUUUACCAUGGAGAGAAUCCUAUUAUCAUUUGCAACUGUUUUCCUUGGACAUCCAGGCCUUUUGUGUUUUAGACUUUACCAGUACUUUCUUGUACUACUACUUUUUUUGCAGCAUAAGGACAGCCUGUUUCACUUGCAUUGAGAGCUGCUUUGACUACAUGUUGUUGGGUUAACAGAAUCAGCUAACAAAUGUGAAUGCCAAACCUGGAAUUAACACCAGAACUUUUAUCUGCUUGAUUGAAAGGAAAUGAUGAAGAAAUAGCCUACACCUGUCCAUUAAACAGCUUUUGAGUCAAUUGUCGAAUUACUUUUGGUCCCUUGAAAAAGAGCUGUCUACAUAGUAAAGACCUGUAAUUCCUAAACCCCUUCCUCCAAUGUGAAUGUAAAUACCCUCACAUUAAAGAGAGAAUGCACGUUAAGCCCAUAUUAAUUAUUUAACUAUAACGUUAACUUAUUUUGGUAAACAUUCAAAAUAACAAAACUUGUGCCAGUGUUCAAAAAUUUCCAGACCUGGCUGUACAUUAUUCUGAUAUAUUGCACUAUAUUAGUCUAUCUGCGUGUUUUUAUUUGAUAUAAAUUUGAUACUGGGGGAUGGGACCUUAAAGCAAUGUCCAAGAGAUUAUCUUUUUGCCCUACUUCUCAAUAUAAUUAAUUUGAUUUGUCUCUAAGUGUAGAAAUAUUCUUGAGAAAGGUUAACUUGACAGUUUACUUCAGGGAGAACAGAUAAUUCACCUCAGAUGUCAGAGACUCUGGUUGCUAUAGAUUUUGAUUUGAGGAAUCAGAGUAACUUUUGUCCUCCUUUGGCACCUGAGGUCGCACUUUUUAUAACUUAAUCAAGAGAGGCAUUAUGUGUCUUACCUACGUUCAUGAAACCUGCCCUAACGAUCCAACGCCUAUCAUCUUAAAGGAGAUUCAUACCAUUGUUGAUGAGGCGUUAUCUGAAGACAUUAUUGACAAAAUCUUAAUCUGUAUGGUAAGAGUUCUCAUCAAAGGAUAUCCUGUUAUGCCAACAUUUUAUGUAUUUUAUGUAUUGCCAAAAAUCCAUAAGGGAAUGAGGGACCCACGUGAAAGACCAAUUGUGGUGAGCAGUGAUUUUUCACUACAGCCACUCUCGACUCUUAUAGCCCUUUGUGAGCAAAUCUAAAUCUUACAUAUUGAAUAGCAGUGAUGACUUGCUCAAAUUUACUACUGCAAGUGACUUGGUUUAUAUAAACUGGGAGAGUCUGUCAGGUUGCUGAUAUAUGAUUUGGGGGGUAACCCCUAAUUGAAAUAUAUACACAAAAUAUAUAUGUACGAGCAAAGGGAGGAUCGGAGGUAAACAAUAGCUCAUAUUUCAGAAGCCUAACCUUCCAAGAUAGAAAGCAACCCUUUAGAAGAUCGUUAAAACAUAAACUUUAUUAAAUAAAGUAUAACACCCAAUGUGUCAAGGUAUAUCUAAUGUAACAGUAAUAUAGGCUUAAGCAGGCUAUGAAAAUACCAGAAAUCCUCUAUUAAUGGAGAAAAAUAAUAAAAUAAAAUGGAAACAAAAAAGGAAAGGAUAAUAGGUCAGAUAUCUAAAAGUAACAACUUUGCCAACCAAAACCAAAGUUCUAAGUCAGCUGCUAAAGUUGGAUAAUAUCCUAGAAAAAAAAGGAGGGAGAUGAAACAAAAAAUAACUAAAAAAACAUAGAUAAAGACUAAUGUAGCAGUUAGAAUAGUAAUAUGGGAGGGAGGGUGUCCUGCCUGUUAUUGUAACAGACAGAAAGUCAAAUAACUACAGAGUAGAAGGAGGGGAGAGAAAUAAACAGCAAUAAGGAUAGGAAAAAGCGAUAAAGAGAAUUUCACUAUCACCUAAUGUGCCUUCGUGGGAACCCCUUGAAAAAUCUAAACCCUCCCGUCCUCCCAAAAUCAGAGAACCCGUAGGUAAUUAAAAGAAAGAGAAAAACCCACCCCACACACCAACAGCUACCCGAUAAUUAAUUAAAUAAAUAAAGUCAUACUAAAAUCUAGUGUGGUGGCUAUCUACUGAUUCAAAUUAUGCUGCAGCAUCAUCUCUUUUCUUACUGCCGACUACUGCUCUAAACUGUCCUCAUGCGCAUUUCGCCAAAUAAUGGCUCUUCCAGGGGAAACAAGUCAUUUAAAUCUCCCGCCUCUGUCUACGGUUGGAUGAUGAUUCCACCAACCGGACAGAAGGUGACAUGAGGGAAGUUAUUAACCCAUUACGAUAUAGAUAAUCUUAAGAGACUGAAAUAAUUGAAUAAAUUAUAAUUUUAUUAUAUAUAUAUAAUUAUAAUUUUCUUAGUGAAAGAUAGAAUUCAAAGAGUAACACUUGUAAACCUCUUAUUAAUUUGGUGUACCCUUAGGUGACAAUAUACAUAAGAUCGAGGAGAAAAUAUUAUUUUACCGAGUGUAUUUAUGGUACUACUUUUUUAUAGUAGUAAGUUCUUUAUACUCACUGAUGUUGAAAUAAAGGGUAAAGCGUCUUUGCCUUGAUGAUACAGAAGUUUGAAAAGAUUCAUAAUAGCUAAAUCUUAUAUAUUGUAUACCUCUUAGUGAAAGUUGAGAUAUGAGAUAAAUUCAGCGUAUCUUAGAAACGGACCUAUGUUCUAUAUAUGAACAGGCUAGUUGCAGGCUAGAAGGGGUAACUAUCAAGUCUGCUUAUAUGUAGCCUCUGUUAUUGUAAUGUUUGCUAGCUAAGUCGUAUCAAUCAUAUAGUAUCCAUUAGUUGCCCUUGUGUGUGUGUGUGUGUGUGUAUGUAUAUAUAUAUAUAUAUAUUUACAUAUAUAUAUAUAUAUUAGUUGCCCUUGUGUGUGUAUGCGUAUAUAUAUAAUAACAAACCAUCUAUUUUACAGGUAGGAUUUUGUCACAGAUCUUACAGUAACCACAGCCUUCUAGGGCAGGCAUAGGCAACCUUUGGCACUCCAGAUGUUUUGGACUACACCUCCCAUGAUGCUUUACCAGCAUUAUAGGUGUAAGAGCAUUAUGGGGGAUUUAGUCCACAACAUCUGGAGUGCCGAAGGUUGCCUGUCCCUGUUCUAGGGUAAUCAAAGUCCAGGACACAUCCAGUUCAGUUUUCCUUUUUAUUUGAUAAGAAAACAGGUGCUUUUAAUAACCAAAUAAAAUUCCUUGCUCUUACUUGAGUGCUUACUAGACAGAAAUAACUAUCUAUAAUUGGGUGGCUUUCACAUUUACCAAUUUUCAAAAAAAACUAAAUAGAUUUGCAAUAAACAUAGUUGUUCUCUCUCCUUCAGCUCUCUGAGCUGGCUUUUUCUCCCUCACCCUGCAGCAGGCUAAUCUCUCUUUUAAAGGACUGCCUGCUAAUUGACCAGCUGCAGGUGAGUGUCAAUUAGUUAACUCUUAGGUUAAAUCCAAAUUCUGGUCUGUAACACAGCAACUAGUGCUGUUGGAGCACUGGCCCACCCUGAUCUCCAAAUGCUCCGCCCCAGGGACUCACACCGUGUUUUGCAGAGCAUCAGCAAUGAAUAUUGCAAACUUAACAUCUCUCUCUGGGGCAUUUAACUGAAAAUUCUCUGGCUGCUGUUUAGCAAAGCAGGUCUGAUAUAUCUGCCUUCAACAACCAUUAUAUAUAUAUAUUAUACACCAUUAUGCAGAUCAUCAGGUAAGAAAUGAAUUAAAAAAUGCUAUUCAAUUUAAUGCAGUAUCAUAAAGAUGUGAUACAAAAUGCUGGCUGAAUCGGUGGUAUGGUGUGCUUCUAACUGACGACAGAUAAGCUACUUUUUGUAGCUCUCUGUAAAGUUAAAUUUGUACCAUGAUCGAUGGUCUGUAUACACGGAUACAAUGUACCUAAUGAUAUCAGUGUAGUCAUAUAGUAUCGUAGAAUCAAUAAUGACCAAAUAUCACUAUCCCUGAAUAAAAAAUUACUUAAAGGGACACUAUAGUCGCCUGAACAAUUUUAGCUUAAUGAAGCAGUUUUGGUGUAUAGAAGAUGCCCCUGCAGCCUCACUGCUCAAUCCUCUUCCAUUUAGGAGUUAAAUCCCUUUGUUUAUGAACCCUAGUCACACCUCCCUGCAUGUGACUUGCACAGCCUUCCAUAAACACUUCCUGUAAAGAGAGCCCUAUUUAGGCUUUCUUUAUUGCAAGUUCUGUUUAAUUGAGAUUUUCUUAUCCACUGCUAUGUUAAUAGCUUGCUAGACCCUGCAAGAGCCUCCUGUAUGUGAUUAAAGUUCAAUUUAGAGAUUGAGAUACAAUUAUUUAAGGUAAAUUACAUCUGUUUGAAAGUGUAACCAGUUUUUUUUUUCAUGCAGGCUCUGUCAAUCAUAGCCAGGGGAGGUGUGGCUAGGGCUGCAUAGACAGAAACAAAGUGAUUUAUCUCCUAAAUGACAGUGAAUUGAGCAGUGAAAUUGCAGGGGAAUGAUCUAUACACUAAAACUGCUUUAUUUGGCUAAAGUAAUUUAGGUGACUAUAGUGUUCCUUUUUUGUUUCCAGUUGAUUUUAUUUUAUUGUUUUCCCGUUAAUAGGGGAUUUGUUGUAUUUUCAUAGCCUGCUUAAGUCUAUAUUACUGUUACAUUAGAUAUACCUUGUCACAUUAGGCGUUUUACUUUAUUUAAUACAGGUUAUGUUUUAACGAUCUUCUAAUGGGUUGCUUUCUAUCUUGGAAAGGUUAGGCUUGUGAGGUAUGAGAAAUGUUUACUCCGAUCCUCCCUUCUCCUUCGCUCCUACUUAUAUAUGACUAUUACAAGUGGUUGAGAGGCAAAGAGAUGGGCACUUAUAUGGCCCUAUUGUAUGCCAAUCUUUUUAUGGAUGAUUUCAAAACUGGAUACAUUUAUGUACAUGAUUUGUUUUUUGCACAUGCAUGUGUCUGGUGGAGAUUCAUUGGUGACAUCUUUGGCAUUUGGUAUGGCACUAAGGAAGAACUAGGGACCUUCUUUGCAGACAUGAAUAUGGUGUGUACAAAGAUCCAGUUCACUACGGAGAGCAGUGAGACUGCAAUCACGUUUCUGGACCUUAAAAUCACAUGUGAGGGAAUGGGUUUCUCCACAGACAUGUAUUCCAAACCCACAGAUAGGAAUAGUAUACUGGAGUACAACAGUUUUCACCCUUGAGGAAUUAUUCAGUCCCUACCAUGCAUUCAAUUUAUCCCAGCACCAGACAAAUGUCUACAGCACCUUGAGGAGAUUAACUUUAAAUGUAAUAUUUGUGGCUAUCCCACCACAUUACUUGAUUCUGAGAAGGACAAAGUCUUUAGGAUAGAGAGACUCCCUCCUAAAAUUCUAAACGGAAAUGUUGAAGGAUCAUGUGAGGAUACCUUUUGUGUCCUGAUUUAACCCUAUGAGUAAAGUUACUUGCAUAUUAUUCCAAAUCCCUAUGCAUAUAUAACUAAAUGUAGGUUUUUUGCUCAACUCCAUAGGCCUUUCGAUGUAAGCCCACCUUCCACUUCAAGGCAAACACUCUACAGUAAGGGAGUUACUGUAUGUGAGGAUUAAAUUCAUAAAUUAUUAUAUCAACAGUUAUACAAAAAUAAGUCCUGUGCUUUCACUCCCACUACUCCUGGGUGGCAGCAAUGACCAUAGUACACAUCAGCCCUAAUACAUACAUUAAAAACCAAAGAAAAAAGUUACUUGCACACUAUUCCAAAUUUGUAUGCAUAUUUAAAUAAAUUGAGGUUUUUAGUUCCACUCCAAUGGCUAUUAGAUGUAAGCCCACCUGCCACGUCAAGGAAAACCUCAUAGGUGGGUCCUACACUAAUAAUUUACCUUGCUUGCUUAAGCUUCAGGCAAAAAACAUCUCUAAUUAUAUAGAGAGUGGUAUUUUUUUCAAACCCCUACAUACUUAUUAACCCUUAAUAAGGAACACAUGGGAUUGUCGGCAGCACUGUAACAUGGCUGUAUGACACAAAAGCUAUUUUUUGUGUAGCUGUUGAUAUAAUUAUUUAUGGAUACAAAAAAAUCAAGUCCUGUGCUCAAACUCCCACCACUCCUGGGCUGCAGCAAUGGCCAUAGUACACAUCAGCCCCAAUACAUACAGUAAAAACCAAAGAAAAAAGUCACCUGCACUCUACCCAAAUCCCUAUGCAUAUUUAAACAAAUGAAGGUUAUUUAGUUUCUCCAAUGGCCAUGAGAGACUUUAGCCCACCUGCCACGUCAAGGCAAACCUCUCAUGUGGGUCCUACACUAAUCUUUCACCUUGCUUCCUUGAGCUUCUGGCAAAGAUAUCUCUAAUGAGACAGAAAGGGGUAUUUUUUAUAUACAACCCUAUAUGUCUAUUAACUCCUAAAGGAACACAUGGAAUGGGCGGCAAGCAUGGGAUUCUGGCGGCAAGCUAACCACGGGAAAAUACGGAGCCCCUCCAUAUAUUCCUGUGGUUAGAUUGUCACCAGAAUACAAGAUUAAGAUAUUCUGUUCACAUCAUCUAUAUUUACCUUAAUCGAAACGACCGUAGAUUUUUUUAUCCAACCCGGGAAAUUUGAUAGAUAUCUAUAGACUGCUCUGUAAUGAAAGCUAGUACUAGCUUGGAUUCUAACACAGGUGCCCUUGAAUGCACAGAUUAGGACGUUUCCAGAGCAGUCCUCUGAUACUCUUUAUUCAUUUAUUUACCUCAGUUAUUUUACCACCGCUCUGUAGUGACAGUUAAAACUAGUCUCUAAUCAACAUAGGGACCCUUGAAGGUACAGAUUAGAACAAGUUCCAUAGCGGACCUCCAAUAUUUUUGUGUUUAUUUUCAUGCUCAAGUUUCUUAAUUAGUUAUACUAUUUCUUUGUUGUCUAUCUACAAGUUGUAUUUAGGUAUUAAGGUUUCAGCACUGCUUAGUCGAGGGUUCCUCCUGGCUAGCAUUACAGCAGAGUACAAAUAUACUAUGUUACAAUUUCUACCAAUACAUGUUAUUGUGUUGGUGUAACAGUGCUACUAUUUAUACCAAUACAGUUAGUGACAGAUAGAACUCGUUGCAAAUCAAGCACAGGUGCCCGUGAAGGCAAAGAUCAGCAUAAGUUCCAUAACAGAUUUUCGAUAUUCCUGCAUCUACUCAGGGCCGGCGCUACCUGUUAGGCGGACUAGGCAGCCGCCUAGGGCGCCCCUUGGGAGGGGGCGCCGCCAGGUGCGCCGGCCCUGCUCAUGCUGCAGCCGCCCGAGCGCUCUGUAAAGAACCUCAGGCGGCUGCAGCUUUGCCCGGGCGGUGCGUCCAUGAGGGCGGACCGCACCGCCCGGGCGCAGCCUGAGGAGAGGCUGACAGGAGGGAAGCGCUCAGCGCUCCCUCCUGUCAGCUCCCUCACUGUAGCGUGGCCGAGCCCUGUAUGGCAUGGUCCGACCGGUACAGAGAGCAGCUGUCUCCUGUACCCGGCCGGACUAACAGGAAGUGAACACUGAGUGUUCACUUCCUGUUAGUCCGGCCGGGUACAGGAAACAACAGCUCCCUGUACCCGCGGACUAUACUAGGCUCGGACACGCUACUACACAGGUAAGGGGGAGGGGAGAAGAAAGAAACAGAGAGGGAGGGAGGGGGGAGAAGAAACAAACAGAGAGGGAGGGAGGGNNNNNNNNNNNNNNNNNNNNNNNNNNNNNNNNNNNNNNNNNNNNNNNNNNNNNNNNNNNNNNNNNNNNNNNNNNNNNNNNNNNNNNNNNNNNNNNNNNNNGGAGGGAGGGGGAAGAAAGAGGGAGGGAGGGGGGAGAAGGAAACAGGUAGGGAGGGAGGGGGGAGAAGGAAACAGGUAGGGAGGGAGGGGGAGAAGGAAACAGGGAAGGAGGGGGAAGAAAGAAACAGGGAGGGGAGGGGGGAAGAAAUAAACUGACGGGAGGGGGGAGAAAGAAACUAACAGGGAGGUGGGGGGAAGAAACUAACAGGGGGGGAACUAACAGGGAGGGGGGAGACAUUGACAGGGAGGGGAAUUGACGGGGAGAGAGAAAUUGACAGGGAGGGGGGAGUGACAGGGGAGGGAGGGGGAAUGAGAGUAACAAGGGAGGGGGGGGAGAAGAGAGUGACAAGGGAGGGGGGAGAGAUUGACAUCCAUCACACACACACACACAAUCACAAACAAUGCACCCCUUACACACAAAGACAAUGAACCCCUUGCACACAGAAAAACACACAAUGCAUUACACACACAAUGCAUUACACACACACACGCAAUGCAACCCUUACACACAAUGCAUCCCUUACACAAUCAGAAACACACAAUGCAUUCCUUACACACACUCAAUGCACCCCUUAAACACACUCAAAGCACCCCUUACAGACACACACUUCAUCCCUUACAUACACAGAAACACACCUUGCAGCCCUUACACAUACAAACACAGAUUCACACAAUGCAUUCCUUACACACAAAUCAGUACAUCCCCUACACACUCCACCCCCUGUGAACAAACUCAUUGGUGGAACAUGAAGGUGGACCCUGGGACCCAGACCUUGAGCUGUGUAAAGGGCUCCCCAAAAAUGGAGCUGCUUCCCGUUCUCCCAGAACAUUGAUUUUUGUGACCACAGUUACAAACAGCCUCCAGAGAUCCUGUUAUACACCAGACCAGUGGAGCCAGACUGCAGCUAGAGCCCAUCAUCAUCCUCAUCUGCUUGUAAGUAGGUAAUCUAGUAUAUUAUUCGUGGCACUAAUCUCUAAUUUACCUUACCUCACAUUAAAGAAACACUAUAGUCCCCAGAACCACUGCAGCUUAAUGUAGUGGUCCUGGUGUCUAUAGCCUGUCCCUGCAGGCCUUUUAAUGUAAACACAGCGGCACUGCAGCACUAGCGUUAGUUAACAUGGCAGGUCAUAUGGGUGGGGCAUUGUGAUGUCACGAGGGGGGGGGGGCGGCAAACUUUACUUUUGCCUAGGGCGGCAAAAAUCCUUGCACCGGCCCUGCUCUCAUCCCAUCGUUUGCCCAGUCCCUUUUCACCUUAUCUGAUCUCUCUCCUCUAGUCUUGUACCAUCAUUAAUGCACAUCUUCAACUGCUCUCUUUCUUCUGGUAUUGUUCCUGCUCCCCUUAAACAUGUUACAGUUGUACCCAUCCUAAAAAAGCCAUCUCUUGACCCGUUUUCCUCUUCCAAUUAUUGUCCCAUAUCCCUGCUCCCUUUUUCUUCAAAGCUCCUGGAAAGACUUGUCUUUAGCCAUUUGGCUUGCUUGUUAAAUUCCAACUCUAUCCUUGGCCCCCCUAAAUCUGGUUUCUGCUUCCUACUUUCUCCGACACUGCUCUGACUAAAGUUACAAAUUACCUAAUCACACCUAAAGCCAAAAGCCACUACUCCAUACUAAUUCUUCUUGACCUCUCUGCCACCUUUGACACUGUUGAUGAUGUCCUCCUUCUCCAAAUUCUUCUCCAAAGUCUCUAUGACACUGUAUUCUUGUGGGUUUCCUCCUAUCUCUCCCAAUAUUCAUUCAGUGUCUACUUUUCCAAUGACGCUCCUCCCCUCAUCCUCUCUCGGUUGGAGUCCCCCAAGGCUUUGUUCUUGGUCUUCUUCUGUUCUCUCUUUAUACUACCUCUAUUGACAAACUCAUGAAUGCCUUUGGAUCCAGCUACCAUCUGUAUGCUGAUAUCACCCAGAUAUAUCUCUCCUCCACUGAUCUCUUCCCCGCUGACCUAUAACAUGACACUGUUUGCCUUUCUUCAAUCUCUGACUGGAUCUCCUCCCACUUUCUGAAACUCAAGCUGUCUAAAACAGAGCUUUUUAUUUUUCCUCUUUAUAAUACUGAUCCUCCUCUUUUGCUUUCCCUGCAAGUUGAUGGUACCUGCAUCAGUCCAUCCUUGCAAGCUCACUGUCUUGGUGCUAUCUUUGAUCCUGUCCUCACUUUUGUACCUCAUAGCUAGUCUGUUGCUUUAACCUGUCAAUUCCACCUUAACAACAUUGCUCGCAUCCGCACCUUUCUUACUCAAGAUGCUGCCUAGGAGCUUGUUCUCUCUGCUCUGCCAGGGGCCUUCACAAUGACCGCUGCUCACACCUUUACUACUAACUUGCGCUUGGGGGACUUUUUAUGGGCGUCUUCUUUCCUUUUGAACAGCCUACCUAUCCCCAUCAUGUAGCGUAUUACACCAGAAGAAAUAUAGACAGUUAAGAAGGUCCCUAAACCAGUCCUUAGAAUGGCCGGAUAGAUAGAAUAAAAUACAAGGAACGUCAGAACGAGCCAAGGUCAAGGAAGCCAGAAAUACACAGAUUUAAGAGACAAAACCGAGUCAGGGGAGCCAGAAAACAAAGUAGUCAAGAGCAAGCUGGGUCAAUACCAAAAUAUACAAAACUGACGAAAGAACAUAUUAUUGGGACUAUAGUGACACUAGGAACCACAACAGGGCACUGUGCCUUGGGCAGACUGAAAUUCUAUAUGGUUGUGGGCUUGAUUAACAUAGCCAAAACCCCAAAAGGUGCGAGUGUGCUGAGCUCUAUUGAUUAGAGCUCCUCUGAUGUCAUGACACCAGCAUGCAUUUGCCGCGUCACAGAAAGGGGCAGGCGCAUUGCGACCAGCGGCCAUGAGGCUUACCGGAGUCUCAUUAUGUGUGAGAUCGGCAGUCCGUGGAAUCAGAGUGUCGGCUUUUAUCCAGACCACCUGGAUAAGUACAAGUGGGCUGACAGAUUAGACACUCCCCUAUUCUUCAAUUGUUUAAGACAUCUUUCAAAACCCAUAUGUUCAAAAAUGCUUAUGGCCUCCUAGAGUAAUUCUAUAUCACAAAUGUGUCUCUUGCUCUGUCCUAAAGAACUACCCUCCACUCUAACCGCCAAUUCUCCUACUUUUCCACCUUUUUGUUUGCUUUCCCGCUUGAUGCCCUUCCUAUUGUGUCUUUAUACUCCACUCCUCUAGACCAUAAGCUUGUUUAAGCAGAGUCCUCAUCUACCUAUUGUUCCUGUAUCAUUUUGUUUUUGUCUCAUUUGCUGAUAAAUUUCCCCCUUUCAUAAUAUUGUAAAGCACUGCGGAACAAGUUGGCAUAUUAUAUAAUAAUAUAUAUACCACCAUAGAAAAGGAGGCACACAGAAUGUCCAACAAUCCCUGAUACAACUUGGAUACCCGGAGAUUUAACCGGCCCUGAAAUGCCCCCAUUUAUGGCAAAACCUGGAAACCACCAUUUCGGUUUCUGAGCAAAUAAAUUAGGUAAACCUGGUCCUGAUAGACAACAUGUUUGAAAAUAUGGCUACAGAAACAAACACAUAUGCUAGUCAGUAUCUGUCAGCUAGUCCACUGUUAUAACAAAGAACGUCUCGCACUCUACAUAAACCACAUACUUUCCUACUUGCACAACCACCCCAUGAUUAAUUGCCCUCUUUAUUUAAGGAAAGGAAUAUUUAAGGAAUUUAAGGGAAGAUUGCUGUUUAAGCAACAUAUUCCAUCUAAGCAAAUUUAUAAAUUAUGCAAAUGCCUACCAGUUAUAUCUGGGAAUUUCACAUUUAUGAAUGGAAAGAUAGUCAUCUCAAUCCACCAGGAUUCCCUGAUUCUGUGGGAGCAAAUGGCAAGAUUGCGUGGUAUCUCUUCCUGGCUUUGCUGAACAAAGGCUACCAUCUAGGGGUCAACAAUUAUUAAAUCAGCAUAGAUUUGUUCAAAAAUAUAUUUUUCUUUGACAGAUUUUCUGUGGCACUUUGCUAAAAAAAAACCUGAAAGGUUUCAUCUAGAAGCUAGUAUUAAAGUUACUGCAUCUUUAAGAACAGCAGGGCAUCGCAGUGUCUAAGUCUCUAGGGAACAGCUGGAAACUGAAUAAAGUGCUAAACCUUACUUGUGAGGAUUCAAAUGAAUAACUAUUCGCUGGCAAGUUUAACAUCCUUCAAGAAUUCUGCUAUAUUAUGCCUUUUCAUGUCUUUGUCCAAGGUGUCUUCUAUAUCUAGAGUCCAUAAUCUUAAGGCCCUACACAAAGAUGAAAAGGACACUGCUAGAUGACAGCCUAAGUCUGUGGCUGAAAAGGAUUUGGAAAUGUCAGCAUUGACCCUUUUGUCCAUAGGUUCUGUGAGGGAAGCAUUACUAUCAAUUGGAAGAGCAGAAUGUCUAGCGAUCUUAAAGGGGCACUAUAGUCACCAGCUUAUUGUAUUUGUUCUGAUGAGUAGAAUCAUUCCCUUCAGGCAUUUUGCAGUAAACACUGUAUUUUCAGAGAAAAUGCAGUGUUAUAUUACAGCCUAGUUAUAACUCCACUGGCCACUCCUCAGAUGGCUACUAGAAGUGGGACAGUGCUCCACACUGUGCAGUACUGCCAUUCAGUGCCUUCACCCUCUGCAUGCAGACACUGAACUUUCAUCAUAGAGAUGCAUUGAUUCAAAGCAUCUCUAUGUGGAAAUGCUGAUUGGCCAGGGCUGUGUUUGACUUGUGUUGCCUCUGCCCCUGAUCUUCCUCCUUGAGAGUCUUAGCCAAACCUAUGGAUAAGCUUUGUGAUUGGCUCAGACCACCACUUCUGAUGAUGCCAGCAGACAACAGGCAGAUCAGGGGCAGAGGCAGCAGCUGCAGACUUGAAUAAAGUAAGAUUUUACUAUAUUUAGGGAGGCAAGGUGAGCCAGGGGGGCUAGAUGGUAGUUUCAACAGUGUAAUGUCAGGAAUACAUGUUUGUGUUUCUGACCCUAUAGCAUUUCUUUAAAAACAGGAGCACCCACCUUAGGGUUAGAGUAACAUAAUUUUGAAACCUCUUCCUUGCGCUUGGAAAGUCUUACCUUUUACCUUACCUUGGAUUUUUUUUUUUCAGGAAUGGACCAUUCCACCCACAUAAGAUCUUUAAUAGAUCUAUGAAAAAGAAAAUAAGACUCCCUUCUGAUUAAGUCCCCAAAGUGCUUAUCUGAAGCCAAAGCUUUUGGAAUUUUUAAAGUUCUUCUGAUCAAGGCAGUUAGGUGUUUAUUAUUCUUAGAGUCUAAGGUAUGUGCUAUGAGAUAUUUCUUCAUCACUCAAAGUGAUGGGCUCAAAUUCCAAAGAUCCGGUUUCUCUAAAGUGUCAGAAUCCAAAUUUAAGCUUUUGCAUCUAGGUCUUUUCCCUCUGCUGAAUUCUGCAAUACCUUUCACCACAGUAUGCUUAAUCCAUAAAGCAAUAUCCUGGGCAGAAGUAGUGGCCUGUGGUGUCUGGCUUUGGUCAUAUUCUCCUGCAAUCAGGGCAGUGAAAACAGAAGUCAUGAGAAACUAUAAUGAGAAACUCAAAUGCACUCUUUAAUAAUAUAACUUUUUUUAAAAACAAAAUGCUCACCUAUGACUUAUUGCAGCAGACUUGGCAGAAGAUUCCAUACCUAACCAAAUGGACUAAAAAAAAUCAAAUAGCAGUAACUAAAUAUCUGCUUAAAGAUAUACUAAAAAUAACGUACUUGAAAAAAUAAAAUUCUUACCUGCAGAGAAUGCACAAACAACCUGAAUAGCAAACAAAAACCUCCAGUGAAUGAAAUGUUCUAAUGCACUGUUAAGAAGAGCACUUGCUUUUGUCCUCUGAUUUAAAUCUCAUUACCAGCACCUUUAAAUCUUUGUGUGUUCACCAUUCAAAUGCAAGUGCCCCAACUGUAAUAUUGGAAAUUGGAAAAGUUAGGGCUAACUGCAUUCAAACUUACCACACAUGCACAUGCAGAAAAAAAAUAUGAUAGAACAAACUAUUUGUCCUAAGACAAAGAGGACUGGAAAAGAACUCAGGAACAGUGUCUAUGGGGAUCCUAUUAUACCUUACUCCUUUUUAAUGAGGGAUGAGCUAACCAAUUAGUCAAAUGCUGCCGUGAUAAGCCAGGAAAUAUGGGCGUAUUAUUGGAAUAGGAUUGAAAAGAAAACCUCCCAACAGUUCACAUGAACAAAUAGAGACACUUUAAUUUCACGGGUAUGGGUGGAGGUGUGGCCAGGUGACUUACUAAAAAUCAUUUAUGCAACUAAAAUGUAAUAUAGAACAAGAGCAACAUAUCUUAUUUACAUUGACUGAUUUCUAAACAUAUUUAUUGUAGUAUAAAGAAACUGUGAGUAAUAUUGCUGUGGAACUGUGCUAUGCACUCAGACACCCCAACAACAUGGAACUCGUAGAAAAGAGGGGCAUUGGGAUAGAAAUGAGGGACAGAGAGAUUUGGACUGAAGUCUGUCUGCUGUGUUUGUGAUGAAAAUAAAUAAACUGGCCAGAUUUUGUAUUUAAGUGGCUAAAAAAAGGCUGGCUGUACCCCAUUUAGAAUAGCAUUGGUUGACUGCUUUUAAAAAUGGUGUGCCAUCAUGGGUAUAAUGUUCUUUGUCCAUAUUCUACCCAUAUUUGUCCCAUAACUUCCAGAAACCUCAGAAAACCUCUACAUAGGGGCAUUGAUGCACUCAUGGUACAUCCCAUUUUAUUCAUAUUCAGUUAUGGUUCAUAUGUAAAUAUGUGAUGUCAAAAGAAAGAUGUGAUUGAUAAUCAUGUGGGUGCAUGUAAUGUACAAGUGGCAAAUUAUGGAUUAACAAACCUGUAGCUCAAACUCUAGGAUUUGUUUUGCUUCAGAACUUUCACUAUUACCUCUGUCUGUAAGAGCACGGCAGGGUAAGGUGCAAGCAUUUCAGACUACUAAUAUGAAGAUGUAUUUUGGUGCCCCCCGUAUCCCCCCCUAAAAAAAGAAUCUUCCCUUGUGUGUCUCAUAACCCCCAUCUUUUAAAUGUCUUAUCCCUUUUUGUGUAUCUUGCCCAUCUUUUGAAUCCCCCUUUAGUGUAUCUUAUCCCUCAUUUUCCCCUUUGUUUCUUACACCAACUUUGUGUUUCUCUUACUUUCUCCCUUUGUGUGUCUUACUUUCUCUCAGCCUCUUUGUGUGUCUCUUACUUUCUCUCAGCCUCUUUGUGUGUUUCUUACUUCCUAUCUUAUGUGUCUCAUUCUUCCCCCAGCCCCUUUGUGUGUCAUUGUCAUGAGUGUCCGCAGGGGGGGGGUAAGAGGGGGCACUUGCCCCACCCUGGAUUAUUCAGCUUGUUCUGCUAUUUUUCGUGUGAUUGAAAAUGAACUGCAAUACCGGCGGUGUAUGGAAAGAGACAGGGAUAGAAAGCUGCAUCUUAUCCCUGCUUCUCUCUGCUGAUUGAAACCGCAGGGGAACAACACAUGCAGCCAGAGACAGCCUACAGAUCAUGUAAGUGGGGGAUGGGGGGAGGGUUUGAGAGGGGGGGCAGCCUUCUAGAUCCAGGUGAGGUAGGGGAUGAGGGGAGGGUUUGAACAGCCUAUAGAGGGGCAGCAACGCAUACAAGGUCAGGUAAGUGAGGAUGGGGGAGGUUUGAGAUAGCCUAUAUAUAGAUUUGGGGGGCGGCAGCCACAGAUCCAGGUAUAGUGAGGGAUGGGGGGAGGUUUGAGAUAGCCUAUAAGGUGGGGGGGCAGAAGCCUACAGAUCAGUAAGUGAGGGGAUGGGGUUGAGAUCAGCCUAUGGUGGAUUUGGGGGCAGCAUACAGAUAGGAUGAAAAGUGAGGAGGGAUGGGGGUUUGAGAUAGCCUAUAGAUUUGGGGGCAGCAGCCUACAGAUCAGGUAAGUGAGGAUGGGGAGGGUUUGAGAUAGCCUAUGGUGGGGGCGGCAGCCUAUAGAUUUGAGGCAGCUAUGGUUGGGGGCAGCAGCCUAUAGGUGGGAGUGAGGGAUGGGGGGAGGGUUUGAGAUAGCCUAUAAAAUUUUUGGGGGCGGCCUAUAAGGAGGUGAGACGGGGGGCAGCAGCCUAUAGAUUAGGGGAGUGAGUGAGGGAUGGGGGGGGCAGCAGCCUAUAGAUUAGGGGAGUGAGACUGGGGGGGGCAUCAGUCUAUAGAUUAGGGGAGUGAGGCUGGGGGGGGCAGCCUAUUGCAUUAGGGUGUGCACCCUAAAGCACAAACACACGCCAUGUGUAUAUGUAUAUGUAUGUGUGUAUAUAUAUAUAUAUAUAUAUAUAUAUACUGCUAUGUGUAUAUAUAUAUAUAUAUACUGACAUAUAUAUACUGCUGUGUGAGGGUGCUGGUAGUGUGCUAUGUGGGUGAGGGUGUUUUUGUGUGUGUUUGUGAGAGUGCUGUUAGUAUGCUGUGUGUGAGGGUGCUGUUUGUGUGGGAACUGGUAGUGUGCUGUGUGUGUGUGUGUGUGUGAGAAGGUGUUUGUGUGUACGUGUUUGUUCGGGUCCUGUUAGUGUGCUGUUUGUGUGCUGAGUGUGUGUUGUGUGUUUGUCAGGGUGCUGUUUGUGUGUGAGUGUGCUGUUUGUGUGUGGGUUUUGUGUGUUUGUGAGGAUGCUGUUAGUGUGCUGGGUGUGUGUGGGUGCUGUGUGUGCGAGGGUGAUGUAUGUGUGUGGGUGCUGUUUGUGGGCUGUGUGUGCUCUGUAUGUUUGGGAGGAGGUGGGGGCAGAUUAGUUAAUAUCCCAGUCCUGCUGCCUUCCCUGGUGGUUCAGUGGAGAGUGAACUCUAGCCUGGGUUCUCUGCUGCCUCCCUCCAUGCUGCUGUGGACCGGUGAGGUAGAACUUUGAUCUCCCCACCGGCCCAUGGAGGCUUAGACCGGAGCCGCCGCUCCGCGUAGCGUCGGCUCUGCAUGAGCCGACCGGGGAGAUCCAGAGAUCUCCCCUGCCGGUCUCAAUCCAUUGGCUUGCCGCGGGGAUUAGGGUGUGCCCAUGCACACCCGACACACCCCGUGCGCACGCCUAUGGAAGUGAGUGAUGGGGGAGACAGCCUACAUGAAGAGUCAGCAAGGAGCAGGAAGGUAAAGUAAGAAAAGGAGAACUCAGCCGCGGCUGAGAUGCAGAGAGAGGGGGGCUUAUCCAUCACCUUUUGCCCUCCCCAUGACAGGGGCAAGAGGUGAGACAGGGGGCGCUGAGUGCCUGCAGGAACAGCGUUCCUGCUCAAAAAAAGUGCAGGAACACUGUUCCUGCAGGACUCAAACCAUAGACGUGCCACGGGGAUUAGGGUGUGCCCAGGCACACCCGGCACACCCCGUGCGCACGCCUAUGCAUCUGUUUAACUUACAGUGAGUGAAAAAAAGUAUUUGAUCCCCUGGUGAUUUUGAAUGUUUGCCCACUGACAAAGAAAUGAUCAGUCUAUAUUUUAAUGGUAGAUGUAUUUUAACGGUGAGAGACAGAAUAACAAAAAAAUUCCAGAAAAACCCUUGUCAAAAAAGUAAUAAAUUGAUUUGCAUGUCAAUGAGUGAAAUAAGUAUUUGACAUCUUCGACUUAGUACUUGGUGGCAAAACCCUUGCUGGCAGUCAGAGGUCAGACAUUUCUUGUAGUUGGCCACCAGGUUUGCACACAUCUCAGGAGGGAUUUUGUCCCACUCCUCUUUGCAGAUCCUCUCCAAGUCAUUAAGGUUUCGAGGCUGAUGUUUGACAACUCGAGCCUUUAGCUCCCUCCACAGAUUUUCUAUGGGAUGGUCUGGAGACUGACUAGACCACUCCAGGACCUUAACGUGCUCUUGAACCACUUCUUUGUUGCCUUGGCUGUGUGUUUUGGGUCAUUGUCAUGCUGGAAUACCCAUCCAUGACCCAUUUUCAAUGUUCUGGCUGAGAGAAGGAGGUUCUCACCCAAGAUUUGAUGGUACAUUCAUCGUCCCAUUGAUGCGGUGCAGUUGUCCUGUUCCCUUAGCAGAAAAACACCCCCAAAGCUCCAUGUUUGACAGUGGGGAUGGUGUUCGUGGGGUCAUAGGCAGCAUUCUUCCUCCUCCAAACAUGGCGAGUUGAGUUGAUGCAAAAGAGCUCAAUUUUGGUCUCAUCUGACCACAACACUUUCACCCAGUUCUCCUUUGAAUCAUUCAGAUGUUCAUUGGCAAACUUUAGACGGGCCUGUACAUAUGCUUUCUUGAGCAGAGGGACCUUGCAGGCACUGCAGGAUUCCAGUCCUUCACAUCAUAGUGUGUUACCAAUUGAUUUCUUGGUGACUAAGGACCUAACUGCCUGCAGAUCAUUACCAAGAUCCCCCUGUUUGGUUCUGAGCUGAUUCCUCACUGUUCUCAUGAUCAUUGAAACUCCCAGAGGUGAGAUCUUGCAUGGAGCAUCAGUCUGAGGAAGAGUGACAGUUAUUUUGUGUUUCUUCCAUUUACAAAUAAUUUCACCUUCUCACCAAGCUGCUUGACGAUGGUCUUGUAGCCCAUUCCAGCCUUGUGUAGGUCUUCAAUCUUGUCCCUGACAUUCUUGGACAGAUCUUUGGUCUUGGCCAUGGUAGAGAGUUUGGAGUCUGAUUGAUUGAUUGCUUCUGUGGACUCAGCUCAUUACCUGUAUAAAAGACACCUGGGAGCCAGAAAUCUUGCUGAUUGAUAGCGGAUCUAAUACUUUAUUCACUAAUUGACAUGCAAAUCAAUUUAUACCUUUUUUGACGUGCGUUUUUCUUGAUUUUUUUAUUUUCUUUUGUUAUUCUGUCUCUCACUGUUAAAAUACACCUGCCAUUAGAAUUAUAGAGUAAUUAUUUCUUUGUCAGUGAGCAAACUUUCAAAAUCAGCAGGGGAUCAAAUACUUUUUUCCCUCACUGUAGAAGUUAUCAGGAAAAAGCAUAAAAAAUAUUUAGUGUUUAGGUGCCGCACCUCCCAAACACUAAAGUGCAAGUGCAGCACUAAAAAAUUCAAACAUAAUAUGAAGGCUCACCCCUAACUGUAGAGAUGGGGAAGCCAAUGCUUCUAUAUAUUGGAAAAGAGACAAAACAGAGAAAAAAAAACAAUAAUGCAAUAUCGUUGUGCUUUUAUAUAAAAGACAAUAAAUACCAGUAUUAAAAAAAACAGUCACAAGAAGAUAUAUUAUGUUCACAAUUUUUUGAGUCUGUUAAAAGUUAUGGCUCUGAAUGCAAAGAGCGCCCGUAAACCUUCUGGUGGCAACAAAACCUCUUUUGAUGAUCAGUCAAAUUCUUCCAGUGAGAUGCCUGUAGUCGAUAAAGUGAACAAGAGAGAAAGCUGGUACAAUAUUGUUUGUAAAUCUUAUAAUGGAAUAUAUAUAGAUAGGUAUGCUCACCUUUGCUUGGAGCGCACAUAUGACAGGCUCCAAGUUUGUAGACACUGUGCCAAAUCUAGAGUGACACAACCCCUCUUUAAUCCAAUCAGAUGGAGAUAAAGGCAAUAAAAACACUAAUAAAUUGUAAAAAAAACUUUAUUCUAUAUAAAAACAAAAGUAAAUGUUGAAGUAUAAAACAUUACCAAAUAAGAAUAGAAGAAUAAUGUCCUAGAGAUAAGUUUCACCCGUUUUCUGGCCUUUUUAAUUGAUUGUCUAUUCAUUGCAUUUAGAGGAUAUAUUGCACAGAUAUAAAUGCAAUGAAUAGUCAAAUCCGGCACUUUAUUAUAUAUUUGUAUGCACUUUACAAAGAAGUGUGUGCACAGUAAUGUGUUGCACUUUUGUUUGAUGCACUUUAUUGUAACAAUAGUGCACAGUGUUUUUAGCACUACCCUCUUUUCACCUUAAAGGCCCUUUUAUAUGAGAAUGGGAAUACAGUGCACCUUCAUUUUGUUUUACGUUAAAUGUGAAUGUCAGCAUAUGUCAUAAGACAACUGACUGUUCACUUGGAAGUAGAUCUGAUAAUUACCCUGCCAAAGCUUGACUUACCCCAGGACACCCUUUAGGUCUGACUGGACCCUGUAAAAGGCUACUAUGCGGCACCACCACCAGCAAAUUCCGGUAGAAGAUGCCACCAGAGGACUCACCAUUUCCUCCAUGACCAGCCUGCUAGAUGGACCUCUGGUAAACAUACCACUACGUUGCUCCUUACUUUAUGUGCAUUUUCAUGAAAUAUAACAUAAAAUACUCUGUUGAAAUCACUUAAUGGGGAGAAGGGCUAACAUGGAUCAAUAGGGGGCACCCAUGUGUACUAAUGCUUUGUAUACACACUAUUCAACCUCAGUUAUUCCCUUAAUUCUGCGCAAAAAACUUUUGUUGAUACUAUAGUAACCCAAAAAAAUUCAAACAGAAUAUGAAGGCUCACCCCUAACUGUAGAGAUGGGGAAGCCAAUGCUUCUAUAUAUUGGAAAAGAGACAAAACAGAGAAAAAAAAACAAUAAUGCAAUAUCGUUGUGCUUUUAUAUAAAAGACAAUAAAUACCAGUAUUAAAAAAAACAGUCACGAGAAAAUAUAUUAUGUUCACAAUUUUUUGAGUCUGUUAAAAGUUAUGGCUCUGAAUGCAAAGAGCGCCCGUAAACCUUCUGGUGGCAACAAAACCUCUUUUGAUGAUCAGUCAAAUUCUUCCGACAAUUUAAAAGGAAAAAAAUACUAGGCACCCCAAUAUUAUUAUUACAAGGAAAAGUAAACAACCAACAUAGGAGGUGUUGGAUCAGACCGCUCUCCAAUAUAGGUCUCGAUAACAUCCCCACUGCUCAGACCCAAAGCAUACCAAUGGAGACUAAAUGAAACACUACUAGACACCCACAUAUUAAAGAGAGACUUCAAAAACGAAUCCAGCAAAACUUUACUGAUAUUACUACAUUCUCUACUUUCCCAACUCUCAUUUGGGAAGCACAUAAAGCUGUGAUCCGGCGUACCUGAUACAACCAGGGGCUAGAUGGAAAAGAGAACCCCUAAAAGAAAUACACUUGCUUGUUGUUAAGAGGAACUAGAAAAAAAACAUGAUCAGUCUAUGGUAGACGACAUCUACACCAACUAACACAUCUAAAAAAAUGUGUCACUAUUAAACAUCUAGGGUAAGUCACUAAUUCAUUAUUUGAUAUAUAUUUAUGCACUGUACUAGUUAUUAUUAUUAAUCUUGAUAAAGGCCCAGGAGGGUCGAAACAUUGAUUCUUUCAACACACAUUUAAAAAAUCCUGUGGAGUGCUAUAUAUAAAAUAAAAAUAGGCUGCACGGUUUUCUGUAGUAGUUUUCGUUUUAUUUUAUUCAUCCAUUUACUAGGUGGACAAAACACAAUACUGUGUGUGGAUUAAAGAGUCUUUAGCAAAGUUCAACGUUUCAGUCCCACCUGGGGACUUUCCUCAGCACCAAUAAACUCUAAUGCAUAUCAAACAGUAUAUAUAUAGCCAUACAUUAAUUAGAAAUGAUUAAAGAGCAGUGUGUACCAAUUUUCCCUAAUAGCGUUUUCCCGGUCCGUGUGCGCAUGUGCGUGCAUUGCUCCGCCCCUUAUGUGACGUAACGUCAUAACGUUAAUAACGCAUGUUGAUAGCUUCGCCCCUGUGUGACGUGCAUAUAGAGAUGACAUUGAGUACCUGCGUUUCCAUGGCAACGCUCGCGCACACAAUGUCAAAUCCCUAAUUUAAAACCAUUGAGUUAAAAUGCUGGUGAUUAUACAUGUAAUACACACUGAAAAAAUUAUAAACGCAACACUUUUGUUUUUGCCCCCAUUUUUCAUGAGCUGAACUUAAAAAUCUAAGACUUUUUCUAUAUACACAAAAGGUCUAUUACUUUCAAAUAUUGUUCACAAAUCUUUCUAAAUCUGCGUUAGUGAGCACUUCUCCUUUACCUAGAUAAUCCAUCCACCUCACAGGUGUGGCAUAUCAAGAUGCUGAUUAGACAGCAUGAUUAUUGCAAAGGUGUGCCUUAGGAUGGCCUCAAUAAAAGGCCACUCUAAAAUGUGCAGUUUUAUCACACAGCACUACAGAUGUCGCAAAUUUUGAGGGAGCAUGCAAUUGGCAUGCUGACUGCAGGAAUAUCCACCAGAGCUGUUGUAAAUUGAAUGUUCAUUUCUCUACCAUAAGCCAUCUCCAAAGGUGUUUCAGAGAAUUUGGCAGUACAUCCAACCGGCCUCACAACCACAGACCACACCAGCCCAGGACCUACACAACCAGCAUCUUCGCCUGUCAAAAACCAUCUUGGGGAAGCUCAUCUGCAUGAUUGUCGUCCUCAUCGGGGUCUCGACCUGACUGCAGUUCAUCAUCGUAACCGACUUGAGUGUGAAAAUGCUCACAUUCGAUGGCUUCUGGCACUUUGGAGAGGUGUUCUCUUCACGAAUGAAUCCUGGUUUUCACUGUACAGAGCAGAUGGCAGACAGCAUGUAUAGUGUAGUGUGGGUGAGCGGUUUGCUAAUAUUAAUGUUGUGAAUCGAGUGGCCCAUGGUGGCAGUGGGGUUAUGGUAUGGGCAGGCGUGUGUUAUGGACAAUGAACACAGGUGCAUAUUAUUGAUGGCAUUUUGAAUGCACAGAGAUACCGUGAUGAGAUUCUGAUGCCCAUUGUUGUACCAUUCAUCCAUGACCAUCACCUCAUAUUGCAGCAUGAUAAUGCUAGGAUCUGUACACAAUUCCUGGAAGCUGAAAACAUCCCAGUUCUUGCAUGGCCAGCAUACUCACCGGACAUGUCACUUAUUGAGCAUGUUUGCGAUGCUCUGGAUCGGCGUAUAUGACAGCGUGUUCCAGGUCCUGACAAUAUCUAUCAACUUCGCACAGCCAUUGAAGUAGGAGGAGUGGACCAACAUUUCACAGGCUACAAUCAUCAACUUGAUCAACUCUAUGCGAAGGAGAUGUGUUGCACUGCGUGAGGCAAAUGGUGGUCACACCAGAUACUGAGUGGUUUUCUGAACCCAACGCACCACCCAAUACAGUAAAACUGCACAUUUUAGAGUGGCCUUUUAUUGUGGCCAGCCUAAGGCACACCUGUGCAAUAAUCAUGCUGUCUAAUCAGCAUCUUGAUAUGCCACACCUGUGAGUUGGAUGGAUUAUCUCGGCAAAGGAGAAGUGCUCACUAACACAGAUUUAGACAGAUUUGUGAACAUUUCAGAGAAAUAGGCCUUUUGUGGACAGUCUUAGAUCUUUGAGUUCAGCACAUGGAAAAUGGGAGCAAAAACAAAAGUGUUGCGUUUAUAUUUUUGUUCAGUGUAUAUAAAGUGAUGUGGAUACGUAUACCCUAAUACCUCAAAGUAAUGGUUGUGUGAUAAAGUGCAAAAGUGCAAUAUCUUAAUUAAGAAGAUUAUGAUUAAUUAAAGUGCUUAUUACUUAUACAGUAGAUACCGUCUACUGCAGAAAUAGGGUCCUUAUAAAGCAAAAUACUUCAGAAAGUGAAUACUGCAUACUAGAGUGAAAUAUGUGUUGCAAUCUCCCUGUGAUUGAACAUAGUAAAAAGGUAAAUGAAAGUGCCGGUGCUUCCAAAGGCAACAAGUACACAUCCAAGGGCAGUUAUUAAGUCACUCCCAAAAGCACAAUAUAAUAUAUAAUAUAAUCCACACACAGUAUUGUGUUUUGUCCACCAAGUAAAUGUAAACUACUACAAAAAAUCAUGAGUACAGCCUUUUUUAAAUUUUUUAACAUUUUUGUAUUAAAGGUAGAGGCUAAGCACCCGGUAAACAAUUUAAGCAUGUGUGCAAGGAUUGAGAGUGUAUAUAGGGAUCUAGUCUGUGUAUGAUUAGAUGAUCCAGAGAUGGGUAAGGGAUCUAGCGUGUAUCUGGAGCGUAAUGUGUGUAUUGGGCAGUGUGAGCGGUGCUGUAGUAUAUAUACAUAUAUGUUUGGACGUAUUGUAUGUGUGAGGGGCGCAGUGUGUUAGGUGUGCUGUGUGUAUGUGUGAACGGUGCAGCAUGUGUGUGUGUGUGUGUGUGUGUGAGGGCUGCAGUGUGUGUGUAAGAGGGGUGCUGUGUGUGUGUGAGGGUGUUCUUAUCUACCGUCACAUUCUAUGUUUCUAGUUUUCUUUGUCUGCUAACUCACUGAGGUUUAUUUUAUAUAGUUAAUAUACGUGGGUGUGUUUUAUUGUGUGUGCUGUGUAUGUGUGAGGGUGCUGUGUGUGUAAUGGUGCUGUGUGUGUGCUGUGUGUGUCUGAGGGUGCUAUGUGUGUGCGAGAGUGCUGUUAGUUGAGUGUGCUGUGUGUGUGUGUGUGUGUCUGAGGGUGCUGUGUGUGUCUGAGGGUGCUGUGUGUUUGGAGGUGCUCUGUGUCUGGGGGUGCUGUGUGUGUCUGAGGUUGCUGUGUGUGUUUGAGGGUGCUGUGUCUGUUUGAGGGUGCUGUGUGUGUCUGAGGGUGCUGUGUGUGUGUCUGAGGGUGCUGUGUGUGUGAGAGUGCUCUUAGUUUGAGGGUGCUGUGUGUGUCUGAGGGUGCUGUGUGUCUGGCGGUGCUGUGUGUCUGGGUUUGCUGUGUGUGUCUGAGAGUGCUGUGUGUGCCUGAGGGUGCUGUGUCCGUUUGAGGGGACUGUGUGUGUCUGAGGGUGCCGGGGGUUCUUAGGUUGCUGUGUGUGUCUGAGGGUGCUAUGUGUGUCUGAGGGCACUGUGUGUCUGAGGGUGCUGUGUGCUGGUCCGUCUUUAACACGGGUCAAAAGGGGCAGCUUCCCUGGACCCAGUCAUUCCUAGGGGGCCCAAAGCAGCUGCCACUUGAGCCCGCCGGCCACCCGAGAGCAAUGAGUCUGCAGGGGCCUGGUCAGUGCUGCGGUGCUUUAACAGCGCGACCGGGCCCCCUGUGAUGAGGUCAGCGCUAGGAGGAAGUGCAGUCCUGCCGCGCAGGAAGGAGGAAGAGAGGAGGAGUGAGGACUGGGAGAGAGACCAACUCGCAACAGCCUAAGGCAGCCACUGGACCCAAUGUAGGAAACAUGAGUGUGACUGAAAUUGUAUAUUUUCCAUGUGUGUCCGUUUGUGUGUGUAUAGUUGUCUGCAUGUGUAUCAGUCUGUGUGUGUAUCUGACUGUAUGUGCAUAUGUGUGUCUGUAUGUGUGUUUCUGUGUGUAUAUUUGUCUGUAUGAGUAUAUGCACGUGUCUGUUUAUCUGUCUGUGUAUAUGUCUGUAUGUGUAUCUGUGUAUCUGUCUGUAUGUGUAUAUGCAUGUGUCUGUGUUUGUGUGUGUGUGUGUGUGUGUGUAUCUGUCUAUAUGGAUAUCUGUGUGUCUGUAUGUGUGUCCCUCUGUAUAUGUGUGUGUCAAUAUUUGCAUCUAUAUGAGUGCCAUCCAGUAUGUCUGAAUGUUUGUCAUUAAGUGUGUCUGUGUACCUUCAUGUGUGUCAGUGUGUCUGUAUGUGUAUCGCUGUGUCUGUAUGUGUAUCUCUUGGUAUGUGUUUCUGUGUAUCUGCAUGUGUGUCAGUGUGUGUCCCUGUGUAUCUGUCUGUGUCUGUGUAUCUGUGUAUGUGUCUGUAUAUGUAUCUUUGCAUCUGUAUGUGUUAGUGUGUGUCUGUGUAAUUGCAUUUGUGUCCGUGUAUGUAUCUGCAUGUGUGUUAUUGUAUGUAUCUGCAUAUAUGUCAGAGUGUGUUUGUUUAUCUGUGUGUUAGUGUGUGUCUGCAUGUUUGUCAGUGAGUGAGUGUAUCUGUGUAUCUGUAUGUGACAGUGUGUAUCUGUGUAUGCACCUGUGUGUCUGUGUAUCUGUCUUUGUAUGUCUGUGUAUUUGGAUGUAUAUACCUGUGUACCUUCUUUUUUCUUUCUUUUCUCUUUCUUUUCUCUUUUCUUUGCUCUUUCUUUUCUCUUAUGUACCUGUGUAUGCCUGAGCCUGUGUAUGUGUGUAUCUGCAUUUGUGUCAGUGUUUGCAUCUGUAUUUGUGUCAGUGUGUGUAUUUUCUCUAGGUGAACGAUCUAUGUGUGUGGUUUUUUUUUCCGUGUUUUAUUUAUAUGUGUCUUUAGGUGGAAGGCGUGUUUGCAUGCUAGAAGGUAGGAGGAAGGGACCAGGGGGCCCAAUGUAAUGCUAGCCUAGGUUCCAAUCAACAUUAAAGACCACCCUGGCUGUGUGUGUGACGGUGCUGUGUUUGUGAGGGGGCUAUGUGUGUCUGUGGGUUCUGUGUAUGUGUUUGUGCUUUGUGUGUCUGAGGGUGCAGUGUGUUAGUGUACUGUUAGUGUAAAUGUGCUGUGUGCUGUGUGUUUGUGUCUGAUGGUGCUGUGUGUGUCUGAUGGUGCUUGGUAUCUCAGGGUGCUGUGUGUGUCUGAAGGUACUGUGUGUGUCUGAGGGUGCUGUGUGUGUGAGGGUGCUGUGUGUGUCCGAGGAUGCUGUGUGUGUCUGAGGGUGCUGUGUGUGUGAGGAUGAUGUUAGUGUGAGUGUGCUUUGUGUGUGUGAGGGUGCUGUUAGUGUGAGUGUUGUGUGUAUAUUUAUGUGUGUGUGAGGGGGGGACAGAUUUAAAUAUAUUAAAUAUGUAAUCGUUAUCUGAGCGUUGCCGUGGUGACCGCGGCAGCGCUUUGACCUUGCAAGAGUAACCCGGCAGAGCUGCAGGUAAGAGCUUCACCAGGUCCUCCCUCCCUCCCCAUCUUUGAUCUCCCCACCAGCCCAUGAAGGCACACAGCAGGGCCGGCACACAGAUAUUUGCAAUUCUAAUGCAUGAAAUGUGUAAUUUUUAAAGUGACAUCAUAAUUUUUUCUCCUAAUACUAUGGGUCUAUCUAAAUUUAAUGAACAGACAAAAGUAAAGUAUGCAUCUAAUAUCAAACAGCACUGUUGAUUCACUUCUUUCAGUAAAAUGCAUGUUGGUGAACAUGUAGAAAUCUACUGGAAAAUAAUUAUAGUUUACUGUUUAAAACUAGGAAGUAACAGAACAGAUGCAUGUGAUCAUGCAUAGUUUUAAGAAGUAAUAUUCGGAUGUGGCUUAUAAUUGCAAAACUUCCCAUUUCAGAAAUGUUAGUCACAAAUUAUGAUGUAUGUUGUGUUGGUGUUUGAUUGCUUGGAUGUAUGCACAUACACAUAUACACUGUCACAUACAUACUUGCACAGAUAUACAGACACAUACACACACACAGAGAUACACACACCAACACAUACACACACAAAAACAGAGAUGCACACACUGACACAUGCACACACCCUGACACACAGAGACACACACUGACACAUAUACACACAGAUGCACACCCUGACACAGAUGCACACAGACACACAUACUGAUACAUGCAUACACCCUGACUGAUACACUAACAUAUACACACAUUGACACACAGAUGCACAUACAGAGAUGCACACUGACACAGAGGCACACACACUGACAUGCACACACAUCUAGACAUAGAUAUACACACAAUCUGACAUUCAUACACACAUCCUUGGCAUAAUUUUUUUUAUGUUUGCACCCUCUUGUCAGCUUACCUUUUUUGUACAUGAGGGUGGCUUGCUUGGGGUCCUACUGGCUGAUGCUCUGUUUGAAGCUGGAGACAAGCCGCGCUCUUAAAGGGCUAUCACUUGACCGGGCCCUGUUCAGCGAUAUCCAUCGGGUGGCUGCCUGCAACAACAGUAGUUCCGCCACUGUGCAUGUUUGAAAACUGUAAUACAAACAAGAGAGAUUUUUAAAGAUGACAUAUAUUUCCUUUAGCUGAUUUUAUAUAAUCAAGAGGGGGGGUUGGAUAGAUCUUUUACGGCUAUUCGAGGCCUUAAAAGACAUACAGACGUAAUCAAAAUUAUUUAAUCCCUAUUGAAAAUCAGGUUUACAGACUUUCAGCUGUUUGCAAUGAACAAAUCAACCAAAAUCAAUUGAAAUAGCUCAACACAAUGAAUGCUUCAAGUGGUAAACUCUAAAUUCCCAGUCUCAAAAUAAUUUAACCCAAGCAUCUUUGGUAGUGAUGUCCCGAACGGUUCGCCGAACGGUUCGUGAACGGUUCGUCACGAACGGUUCGCCACGGACUCAUCAUUGAGUAAACUUUGACCCUGUACCUCACAGCAGUGUUUCCCAACCCAGUCCUCAAGGCACACCUACCAGUCCAGGAUUUAGGGAUUACCCAGUUGUGUCUAAGGUGUUUUUACAAAGAAGAAAAAAAACACCUUAGACACAACUGGGUAAUCCCUAAAUCCUGGACUGGUAGGUGUGCCUUGAGGACUGGGUUGGGAAACACUGCCUUGAGGACUAGGUUGGGAAACACUGCCUCACAGUCAGCAGACACAUUCCAGCCAAUCAGCAGCAGACCCUCUCUCCCAGACCCUCUCACCUCCUGGACAGCAUCCAUUUUACAUUCUUAGAGAGCUGUCCAGGAGGUGGGAGGGUCUGGGAGAGAGGGUCUGCUGCUGAUUGGCUGGAAUGUGUCUGCUGACUGUGAGGUACAGGGUUAAAGUUUACUCAAUGAUGAGUCCGUGGCGAACCGUUCGCGAACCGUUUGGCGAACCGUUCGAGACAUCACUAAUCUUUGGUACUUAGUAGAGUCCAAUGAUGUCCAAGUUUCAGCUUUCUCACAGACGGCAUGACGUUUUCUCACUGGAUUUCCUGAUAAUUUAAUAAAUCCAUUUUACCAUCCACACGCUGCAGGUUACCAGUGCCAGCGGAUGCAAAGCAGCCCCAGAGCAUCACCAAGCUGCCACCAUGCUUGACUUUAGGUAGAGUGUUCUCUUCAGCAUAUACUUCAUUCUUUCUCCUCCAGACAUACCGCUGAUCCAUUGGGCCAAAAAGUUCCUGUUUUGUUACAUUGUUCCACCGAACAGAGUCCAAAAACUUCUGUGUCUUAUUUAUAUGAUUUUGAGCAUAUUAGAGUCAACUUUUUUUAAAACUUUUGGGUCAGUAGUGGUAUAAGUCUUGGAGUUCUGUCAUGGAUAUCUUCUGUGUUUAGUAGGUGCUGUGACGGACUACCCUGUCUCUGGAUUAUAAGUACUAUGUUUCACUCUCUUUUAUGUCCGGGACAUUGCAUUUCCCUUCAUUUUAUUAUUAUUUCAUUCACCCACCGAACAAACUCCCAAACAACCACCCGUAUGCGGAGUGUACCACUCAUUAACCUCUGUCACUGUCUUAACACUCCUAAACUGCAAACAUUCUAAGCAGUCGGCUGGGUCUUUAAUAAUGAACACACAGAGCGGUCAUCGAAUGCAUGGAACCCAAAUCGGGCACUCAACGGUACUAACACCACUAUAACUUCCCUUCCAUUGAAGUUCGGUUAAACGUAUGGGGAUUGAAAGGCGUUCGGUGGGAGCAAGCUCCCGAACGAGAGACUGAGCGUACCCACGAACUGCUAUGUUCCGUGUUUUGACUAUAUUGAGUAUUCCCAAAAGAGGCCGACCGCAUAGCCUGAUUUCAUGGAACUCUUUUGGGCAGGAUGCCUCGUUUGUGGUCGGUCAAAAUAUGACCUCCAUUUAAAUCCCAAAUCCCUGAAUGAUUUUUGGAUAUGUUGGUCACCCAGAUUGGGGCCAUCAGGGUAUGUAACUUUUGUGGGGUUUCCAUUGGUUUUGGGGGUACUUUCGGGGUACUGCUAAAAUGUAUGUUUUCUGUGCCUGGAGAUAGUUGAGUUUAGUACAGUUUCUGACUCCAUUAUCUCUCAGGCACCUGGACCUGAGAGCCAAUGUAAUCAUGUGUAUGUUUUUACUGUCUACUCUGUCUACUCUUUUUACUGUCUACUCUCAGGUCUAGCGGGGAAUGCCCCUGGAAUAUGUAACAGGAAAUCCCUUGCAUGGCGACUGACAUAAAGGGCCGUGUGUGGCCCCAUUAAAGCCAGUUGUCCACAACAUAGAGCCUCGUCUAAUGUUUGUGAAAUAAAGCUAUAACGGCUGUCUUCCUUCUGCUUGGAGUGCUAAAUCACUAGCUCUUGUAAGAGCUGUUCCUGCUCUGUAUUACAGCAUCCCUCACACUAGGGGAAGAAGAACAUCUCUGGUGGCAAAACCUCUCUUCCCCUCGGGGUGGCCGCCACAGGUGCCUUACUGUGCUCACUGAAUCCUAAGUACCUGUUGCCACUAAGUAUUGCUGCAGGUCUUUUGUAGUCAUUUGAGGGUUUUUCACAAUCUGGCUUCUCAGAAAUCUGGUUGUAGCUAUUGAUAGCUUCCUUUUUCUGCCCCAUGCAGGUAGUGUAACUUCUGUUCCUUCAAACUUGAACUUGCAAGCUAUGCUUCCAACUGUGUCUCUAGGAACAUUCAGUGCCUUCACUAUCUUUUUGUAUCCUGUUCCCUGUUUGUGAAGGUUGAUGAUCUCUUUUCUUAACUUGCCCUUAAAUCAAUUAACUUUUGGACCAUUCUUUUGAUUUAUCCAUAUUUCUAACAUGCAGUUAAAUCUGAUACUCAACAAACCCCUAGCCAGUUCAAGUAUUUCAAGUGUUCCAACUCAAGCACACCUGGUACAAUUAACGAAGCCCAUGAUUAGUUGCAUAAGGUGUGCUUGAAACUGCACCUGUUUUGCAUAAUUAUGCUGUUGUGACGGAUUCUAUUCAGGGAGUUGAAUAAUUUGGGUGUGUGGAAAAGUCAGUAUAAGUUGCAUUUUCAGUUGAAUUUGAGGAAACCACCUGAAGCAUUCAUUGUUUUGAGCUAUUUCAAUUGCUUUUGCUUGAAUUGUUCAUUACAAACAGCUGAAAGUCUGUACAUUUUGAAAAUAAACCUGAUUUUCAACGGGCGUUGAAAAUUUUUGAUUACAACUAUAAAUUUCCUGACGUGACAAUAUCACUAGCACAGGAGGCAAUACAAUCAAUGAGUUAAUUUAAAAUAGAUGUGUUAUCCAAUAUUGACAGGUCUACUAUCUAGAAAAGUGGGGAGCGGGCCAGGCAGCAAUGGCAGUUUGCAUGCCAAUGGGCGAGCAUGUAAACAGGGCCUGUCAAACCAGCAUCCAUGUGCAACAGGGUAACAGAAUGCCUAUUUUGCCUGCCAUCAGAACUGUCCAUAUGAUGAAUAUAACUGUAGCAUUUGUACAUUGGCUUAAAUACACCUAAUUUAAUUACAUAUGCAGCACAAGCGUGGUUGAAGGGAUACUAAAGGCAAAACAAAAUUAACUUUCACUUAGAUAUGCUCCUGCUCUGUACAUUAAACUUCACUUGAAGAUUAUGCUAGCUUUAGUGUACCUGUAAUCUUAAUUUUAUUAAUAACAGGAGGCGAGUAUUUGCUGAAGUCUCUCUUUACUAGAACUCCACAGCAGCACAGAAAAAACAACCAAUCAAAAAAAAGUUAGGUACUAUAAAACUCCCCUCCCCAUCCAUCAUUUCCUCUUUCAAGCUGCGACUAAACAGAACAAAAGGCAGAAAAUAUAAUGGGGAAGAAACGAAGUCCUAGAUACAAUGAAUACAACAAUGUCCACCGUCUGAGAAGAACUGCCAAACCAGAUGGACUGUAAACUGAAAUGAGAGAAAAAACAGAAUCGAAAAGGUUGGUUAGCCAAUGAAAUGUACUCUGAACAAAAAAUGUAGGCACCCAGUGUAACAACCAGAAAUAUCAUAAUAUACAGAGAUCCCAACCCUUACUUUGGAAAACGGACUCAAGAACAAGAGACAGGUAGCAGAGACAACAAGCAGAGUUGCAUACGUACCUGAUGAACCCAAACUAUAGUAUAGACAAGGGAGGGAUAAGAAUGGGUGGGAAAUACUCGCCUCCUGUCAUUAAUAAAAUUAAGAUUAUAGGUACACUAAAGCUAGCAUAAUCUACAAUUUUAUAACAUGACAGGAGGCUUUGUAUUUGCUUUUUUAACGCUCAGGCAACAAAGCCAACACUGUUUGUUUCACUGGUACUUAUUCCAGGAGAUAACUAGAUCAAUCCCAAAUGGACCUUCCAACUGCGAGAAGUGACAGUAGACGGAUCGAUGAAGAUGCCAGCUGUCGAUGUACCCAAAAAUAUGGAAAAUACACCCUCCGCUGUGUGUGUCUGAUGGUGCUUGGUAUCUCAGGGUGCUGUGUGUGUCUGAAGGUACUGUGUGUGUCUGAGGGUGCUGUGUGUGUGAGGGUGCUGUGUGUGUCCGAGGAUGCUGUGUGUGUCUGAGGGUGCUGUGUGUGUGAGGAUGAUGUUAGUGUGAGUGUGCUUUGUGUGUGUGAGGGUGCUGUUAGUGUGAGUGUUGUGUGUAUAUUUAUGUGUGUGUGAGGGGGGGACAGAUUUAAAUAUAUUAAAUAUGUAAUCGUUAUCUGAGCGUUGCCGUGGUGACCGCGGCAGCGCUUUGACCUUGCAAGAGUAACCCGGCAGAGCUGCAGGUAAGAGCUUCACCAGGUCCUCCCUCCCUCCCCAUCUUUGAUCUCCCCACCAGCCCAUGAAGGCACACAGCAGGGCCGGCACACAGAUAUUUGCAAUUCUAAUGCAUGAAAUGUGUAAUUUUUAAAGUGACAUCAUAAUUUUUUCUCCUAAUACUAUGGGUCUAUCUAAAUUUAAUGAACAGACAAAAGUAAAGUAUGCAUCUAAUAUCAAACAGCACUGUUGAUUCACUUCUUUCAGUAAAAUGCAUGUUGGUGAACAUGUAGAAAUCUACUGGAAAAUAAUUAUAGUUUACUGUUUAAAACUAGGAAGUAACAGAACAGAUGCAUGUGAUCAUGCAUAGUUUUAAGAAGUAAUAUUCGGAUGUGGCUUAUAAUUGCAAAACUUCCCAUUUCAGAAAUGUUAGUCACAAAUUAUGAUGUAUGUUGUGUUGGUGUUUGAUUGCUUGGAUGUAUGCACAUACACAUAUACACUGUCACAUACAUACUUGCACAGAUAUACAGACACAUACACACACACAGAGAUACACACACCAACACAUACACACACAAAAACAGAGAUGCACACACUGACACAUGCACACACCCUGACACACAGAGACACACACUGACACAUAUACACACAGAUGCACACCCUGACACAGAUGCACACAGACACACAUACUGAUACAUGCAUACACCCUGACUGAUACACUAACAUAUACACACAUUGACACACAGAUGCACAUACAGAGAUGCACACUGACACAGAGGCACACACACUGACAUGCACACACAUCUAGACAUAGAUAUACACACAAUCUGACAUUCAUACACACAUCCUUGGCAUAAUUUUUUUUAUGUUUGCACCCUCUUGUCAGCUUACCUUUUUUGUACAUGAGGGUGGCUUGCUUGGGGUCCUACUGGCUGAUGCUCUGUUUGAAGCUGGAGACAAGCCGCGCUCUUAAAGGGCUAUCACUUGACCGGGCCCUGUUCAGCGAUAUCCAUCGGGUGGCUGCCUGCAACAACAGUAGUUCCGCCACUGUGCAUGUUUGAAAACUGUAAUACAAACAAGAGAGAUUUUUAAAGAUGACAUAUAUUUCCUUUAGCUGAUUUUAUAUAAUCAAGAGGGGGGGUUGGAUAGAUCUUUUACGGCUAUUCGAGGCCUUAAAAGACAUACAGACGUAAUCAAAAUUAUUUAAUCCCUAUUGAAAAUCAGGUUUACAGACUUUCAGCUGUUUGCAAUGAACAAAUCAACCAAAAUCAAUUGAAAUAGCUCAACACAAUGAAUGCUUCAAGUGGUAAACUCUAAAUUCCCAGUCUCAAAAUAAUUUAACCCAAGCAUCUUUGGUAGUGAUGUCCCGAACGGUUCGCCGAACGGUUCGUGAACGGUUCGUCACGAACGGUUCGCCACGGACUCAUCAUUGAGUAAACUUUGACCCUGUACCUCACAGCAGUGUUUCCCAACCCAGUCCUCAAGGCACACCUACCAGUCCAGGAUUUAGGGAUUACCCAGUUGUGUCUAAGGUGUUUUUACAAAGAAGAAAAAAAACACCUUAGACACAACUGGGUAAUCCCUAAAUCCUGGACUGGUAGGUGUGCCUUGAGGACUGGGUUGGGAAACACUGCCUUGAGGACUAGGUUGGGAAACACUGCCUCACAGUCAGCAGACACAUUCCAGCCAAUCAGCAGCAGACCCUCUCUCCCAGACCCUCUCACCUCCUGGACAGCAUCCAUUUUACAUUCUUAGAGAGCUGUCCAGGAGGUGGGAGGGUCUGGGAGAGAGGGUCUGCUGCUGAUUGGCUGGAAUGUGUCUGCUGACUGUGAGGUACAGGGUUAAAGUUUACUCAAUGAUGAGUCCGUGGCGAACCGUUCGCGAACCGUUUGGCGAACCGUUCGAGACAUCACUAAUCUUUGGUACUUAGUAGAGUCCAAUGAUGUCCAAGUUUCAGCUUUCUCACAGACGGCAUGACGUUUUCUCACUGGAUUUCCUGAUAAUUUAAUAAAUCCAUUUUACCAUCCACACGCUGCAGGUUACCAGUGCCAGCGGAUGCAAAGCAGCCCCAGAGCAUCACCAAGCUGCCACCAUGCUUGACUUUAGGUAGAGUGUUCUCUUCAGCAUAUACUUCAUUCUUUCUCCUCCAGACAUACCGCUGAUCCAUUGGGCCAAAAAGUUCCUGUUUUGUUACAUUGUUCCACCGAACAGAGUCCAAAAACUUCUGUGUCUUAUUUAUAUGAUUUUGAGCAUAUUAGAGUCAACUUUUUUUAAAACUUUUGGGUCAGUAGUGGUAUAAGUCUUGGAGUUCUGUCAUGGAUAUCUUCUGUGUUUAGUAGGUGCUGUGACGGACUACCCUGUCUCUGGAUUAUAAGUACUAUGUUUCACUCUCUUUUAUGUCCGGGACAUUGCAUUUCCCUUCAUUUUAUUAUUAUUUCAUUCACCCACCGAACAAACUCCCAAACAACCAUCCGUAUGCAGUGUACCACUCAUUAACCUCUGUCACUGUCUUAACACUCCUAAACUGCAAACAUUCUAAGCAGUCGGCUGGGUCUUUAAUAAUGAACACACAGAGCGGUCAUCGAAUGCAUGGAACCCAAAUCGGGCACUCAACGGUACUAACACCACUAUAACUUCCCUUCCAUUGAAGUUCGGUUAAACGUAUGGGGAUUGAAAGGCGUUCGGUGGGAGCAAGCUCCCGAACGAGAGACUGAGCGUACCCACGAACUGCUAUGUUCCGUGUUUUGACUAUAUUGAGUAUUCCCAAAAGAGGCCGACCGCAUAGCCUGAUUUCAUGGAACUCUUUUGGGCAGGAUGCCUCGUUUGUGGUCGGUCAAAAUAUGACCUCCAUUUAAAUCCCAAAUCCCUGAAUGAUUUUUGGAUAUGUUGGUCACCCAGAUUGGGGCCAUCAGGGUAUGUAACUUUUGUGGGGUUUCCAUUGGUUUUGGGGGUACUUUCGGGGUACUGCUAAAAUGUAUGUUUUCUGUGCCUGGAGAUAGUUGAGUUUAGUACAGUUUCUGACUCCAUUAUCUCUCAGGCACCUGGACCUGAGAGCCAAUGUAAUCAUGUGUAUGUUUUUACUGUCUACUCUGUCUACUCUUUUUACUGUCUACUCUCAGGUCUAGCGGGGAAUGCCCCUGGAAUAUGUAACAGGAAAUCCCUUGCAUGGCGACUGACAUAAAGGGCCGUGUGUGGCCCCAUUAAAGCCAGUUGUCCACAACAUAGAGCCUCGUCUAAUGUUUGUGAAAUAAAGCUAUAACGGCUGUCUUCCUUCUGCUUGGAGUGCUAAAUCACUAGCUCUUGUAAGAGCUGUUCCUGCUCUGUAUUACAGCAUCCCUCACACUAGGGGAAGAAGAACAUCUCUGGUGGCAAAACCUCUCUUCCCCUCGGGGUGGCCGCCACAGGUGCCUUACUGUGCUCACUGAAUCCUAAGUACCUGUUGCCACUAAGUAUUGCUGCAGGUCUUUUGUAGUCAUUUGAGGGUUUUUCACAAUCUGGCUUCUCAGAAAUCUGGUUGUAGCUAUUGAUAGCUUCCUUUUUCUGCCCCAUGCAGGUAGUGUAACUUCUGUUCCUUCAAACUUGAACUUGCAAGCUAUGCUUCCAACUGUGUCUCUAGGAACAUUCAGUGCCUUCACUAUCUUUUUGUAUCCUGUUCCCUGUUUGUGAAGGUUGAUGAUCUCUUUUCUUAACUUGCCCUUAAAUCAAUUAACUUUUGGACCAUUCUUUUGAUUUAUCCAUAUUUCUAACAUGCAGUUAAAUCUGAUACUCAACAAACCCCUAGCCAGUUCAAGUAUUUCAAGUGUUCCAACUCAAGCACACCUGGUACAAUUAACGAAGCCCAUGAUUAGUUGCAUAAGGUGUGCUUGAAACUGCACCUGUUUUGCAUAAUUAUGCUGUUGUGACGGAUUCUAUUCAGGGAGUUGAAUAAUUUGGGUGUGUGGAAAAGUCAGUAUAAGUUGCAUUUUCAGUUGAAUUUGAGGAAACCACCUGAAGCAUUCAUUGUUUUGAGCUAUUUCAAUUGCUUUUGCUUGAAUUGUUCAUUACAAACAGCUGAAAGUCUGUACAUUUUGAAAAUAAACCUGAUUUUCAACGGGCGUUGAAAAUUUUUGAUUACAACUAUAAAUUUCCUGACGUGACAAUAUCACUAGCACAGGAGGCAAUACAAUCAAUGAGUUAAUUUAAAAUAGAUGUGUUAUCCAAUAUUGACAGGUCUACUAUCUAGAAAAGUGGGGAGCGGGCCAGGCAGCAAUGGCAGUUUGCAUGCCAAUGGGCGAGCAUGUAAACAGGGCCUGUCAAACCAGCAUCCAUGUGCAACAGGGUAACAGAAUGCCUAUUUUGCCUGCCAUCAGAACUGUCCAUAUGAUGAAUAUAACUGUAGCAUUUGUACAUUGGCUUAAAUACACCUAAUUUAAUUACAUAUGCAGCACAAGCGUGGUUGAAGGGAUACUAAAGGCAAAACAAAAUUAACUUUCACUUAGAUAUGCUCCUGCUCUGUACAUUAAACUUCACUUGAAGAUUAUGCUAGCUUUAGUGUACCUGUAAUCUUAAUUUUAUUAAUAACAGGAGGCGAGUAUUUGCUGAAGUCUCUCUUUACUAGAACUCCACAGCAGCACAGAAAAAACAACCAAUCAAAAAAAAGUUAGGUACUAUAAAACUCCCCUCCCCAUCCAUCAUUUCCUCUUUCAAGCUGCGACUAAACAGAACAAAAGGCAGAAAAUAUAAUGGGGAAGAAACGAAGUCCUAGAUACAAUGAAUACAACAAUGUCCACCGUCUGAGAAGAACUGCCAAACCAGAUGGACUGUAAACUGAAAUGAGAGAAAAAACAGAAUCGAAAAGGUUGGUUAGCCAAUGAAAUGUACUCUGAACAAAAAAUGUAGGCACCCAGUGUAACAACCAGAAAUAUCAUAAUAUACAGAGAUCCCAACCCUUACUUUGGAAAACGGACUCAAGAACAAGAGACAGGUAGCAGAGACAACAAGCAGAGUUGCAUAAGUACCUGAUGAACCCAAACUAUAGUAUAGACAAGGGAGGGAUAAGAAUGGGUGGGAAAUACUCGCCUCCUGUCAUUAAUAAAAUUAAGAUUAUAGGUACACUAAAGCUAGCAUAAUCUACAAUUUUAUAACAUGACAGGAGGCUUUGUAUUUGCUUUUUUAACGCUCAGGCAACAAAGCCAACACUGUUUGUUUCACUGGUACUUAUUCCAGGAGAUAACUAGAUCAAUCCCAAAUGGACCUUCCAACUGCGAGAAGUGACAGUAGACGGAUCGAUGAAGAUGCCAGCUGUCGAUGUACCCAAAAAUAUGGAAAAUACACCCUCCGCUGUUACAUCCAUUGUUCCUUGGGUUUUAACCUGUUUUCUAGCAGCCGCUCCAUGAACUGCAAAGCUGACCUAUAGCCAUUUCCCCGUAGGUGUAAAAUACCGAAGGUCCUCCGUGGAUGUAGAAUCAUGAGAAAAACAGCCACUAGGUCUCGAGCCUUGAUGUGGAAGAUGGCCCCUCCGAUUGUGUCAGGGUCACCAGGUGAUGUGGCCUUGCAGGCAAAUCUCCAACCUCAAGUAAUGCGUCUACCACCAAUUUCGCAACAGAACUGAGAAGGACCCUUUCGCUACCUCAUGACCUACCCGGUGAGUGGUCUUACCCGAUAAUGAAAUUAUUAUGCAAGCAAGAGUGCAUUCAAAACUAUCCGUAUCCUAAGUGAUUCCAGUACUCCAAAUGGACUGUGUGACCCGCGACUGUGGUAGAGAAGGAACUCCCAAGGGACGUCUAAUCAGGGCCCCAAACUGAACUUGUGUAGUGAAAGGUGGUCGACUACUCUGAGGGAUUGUGAAUCCUGGAAAUAUUCAAAAGGAGUGGAACGUAAACAGGGGUUGAGAUUUCCAUCCAGAUAUAUAAUUGUCGAGGAGUGAAAAAUGGGCUGGAUCCAAUGAUAAUGGGGACCUGUCCAACCAAGAAGAAUCCUCACGUACUGUAGUGAAAGAGUGAAAUAAUCCGAUAACUACUUUAAAAAUUCAUGUAGGAGCUUAUGGCCUGCCCGCCACCUACGAGAUAGGGUAUAAUAUAUAUAGUAAUAUAAUANNNNNNNNNNNNNNNNNNNNNNNNNNNNNNNNNNNNNNNNNNNNNNNNNNNNNNNNNNNNNNNNNNNNNNNNNNNNNNNNNNNNNNNNNNNNNNNNNNNNCCGCUUUAAGGACACUGACUGCUAUUCAAUCUAUAACAGUGAAAAAAGAUUAUUAUUUUUUUUAAAUCCAAACUAUUGUGACACAGGAUCUAAGUAGUGGCACUUGUCAGCGUAUCCACUGUUAGCGUAACACACCCGCUUUAAGGACACUGACUGCUAUUCAAUCUAUAACAGUGAAAAAAGAUUAUUUUUUUUUUAAAUGCCAACUAUUGUGACACAGGAUCUAAUUAGGGGCACUUGUCGGCGUAUCCCACUUUGUUAAGCGUAACACACCAGCUUUACAAGGACACUGACUGCUAUUCAAUCUAUAACAGUAAAAAAAAAGUUUUUUGUUUUUAAAUCCAAGCUAUUGUGACACGGAUCUAAUUAGUGGCACUUGUCGAAGUAUCCACUGUUAAGCGUAACACACCGCUUUAAGGACACUGACUGCUAUUCAAUCUAUAACAGUAAAAAGUUUUUGUUUUUAAAUCCAAGCUAUUGUGACACGGAUCUAAUUAGUGGCACUUGUCAAGCGUAUCCCACUGUUAAGCGUAACACACCAGCUUUAGGACACUGACUGCUAUUCAAUCUAUAACAGUAAAAAAAGUUUUUGUUGUUUUUAAAUACAAGCUUUGUGUCACCAGAUCUAAGUGGUGGCAAUGGUCACCGUAUCCACUGUUAGCGUAACACACCCGCUUUAAGGACACUGACUGCUAUUCAAUCUAUAACAGUGAAAAAAGAUUAUUUUUUUUUUAAAUCAAGCUAUUGUGACACCAGAUCUAAUUAGUGGCACUGGUCAGCGUAUCCACUGUUAGCGUAACACACCCGCUUUAAGGACACUGACUGCUAUUCAAUCUAUAAUAGUGAAAAAAGUUUUUUGUUUUUAAAUGCAAGCUUUUAUGACACAAAUGAGUGGUGGCACUGGGCACCGUAUCCACUGUUAGCGUAACUCACCCAGCUUUAAGGACACUGACUGCUAUUCAAUCUAUAACAGUGAAAAAAGUUUUUUGUUUUUAAAUCCAAGCUAUUGUGACACCAGAUAUAAGUGGUGGCACUGGUCACCGUAUCCACUGUUAGCGUAACACACCCGCUUUAAGGACACUGACUGCUAUUCAAUAUAUAACAGUGAAAAAGUGUUUUGUUUUUUUAAAUCCAAGCUUUGUGUCACCAGAUCUAAGUGGUGGCACUGACUGGGGAAAUGGGCACAGUAUGCACUGUGAGCCUGACACAGAAGCUGGCAGCAGUGGCAGACAACUGACUGCUAUUCAAUCUAUAACAGUGAAAAAAGUUUUUUGUUUUUAAAUCCAAGCUGUUGUGACACCAGAUGUAAUUGGUGGCACUGACUGGGGAAAUGGGCACAGUAUGCACUGUGAGCCUGACACAGAAGCUGGCAGCAGUGGCAGACAACUGACUGCUAUUCAAUCUAUAACAGUGAAAAAAGUGUUUUUUUUUUAAAUCCAAGCUAUUGUGACACCAGAUGUAAUUGGUGGCACUGACUGGAGAAAUGGGCACAGUAUGCACUGUGAGCCUGACACAGAAGCUGCAGUGGCAGACAACUGACUGCUAUUCAAUCUAUAACAGUGAAAAAAGUUUUGUUUUUUUUAAAUCCAAGCUAUUGUGACACCAGAUAUAAGUGGUGGCACUGACUGGGGAAAUGGGCACAGUAUGCACUGUGAGCCUGACACAGAAGCUGGCAGCAGUGGCAAACAACUGACUGCUAUUCAAUCUAUAACAGUGAAAAAGUUUUUUGUUUUUAAAUCCAAGCUAUUGUGACACCAGAUGUAAUUGGUGGCACUGACUGGGGAAAUGGGCACAGUAUGCACUGUGAGCCUGACACAGAAGCUGGCAGCAGUGGCAGACAACUGACUGCUAUUCAAUCUAUAACAGUGAAAAAAGUUUUUUGUUUUUAAAUCCAAGCUAUUGUGACGCCAGAUGUAAUUGGUGGCACUGACUGGGGAAAUGGGCACUGUGAGCCUGACACAGAAGCUGGCAGCAGUGGCAGACAACUAAGUGCAUUUACAUUACAUAGAAAAAAAAAUCCAAAAAAAGCAUACCCUUAUCCCUAACCUAGCUAUACUUUUCCCUAUCUUAUGAACAGCAGCUACACUUUCCCUCCUCUUACUAAGCAUGCAGCUUGAGAAUGAAUCUAAAAUGGAUGCUGUCCAGUAGGUGGGAGGGUCUGCUAGGGAGGCUGUGCUGCUAAUUGGCUGGAAUGUGUCUGCUGACUGUGAGGUACAGGGUCAAAGUUUACUCAAUGAUGACGAAUAGGGGGCGGGUCGAACCGCGCAUAUGUUCGCCCGCCGUGGCGAACGCGAACAUGCUAUGUUCGCCAGGAACCGUUCGCCGGCGAACCGUUCGGUACAUCACUAGUGGUAAUGAGCUAAAUGCAUUUAGUCCAAUCACAAUGUGGUUUACAUAUAUAAAGUAUAAAAGCAUUUGUGUGUGUGUCAUUAAUUGGUUGAGGUUAUGGGCGCCUUUAUUUGCUAUUAUUUUCAUUGGUGGACAGUAGUGGUUGGCGGAAGUGUUCUGCGGGCUUCCGGGUGGUUGGCGGAAGUGACUUCAUGUAUACACGUGAUCGGCACUCCGCCGCCCAGAAUGCCCCUAGCUCCCCGGCCCCAAGUCUUAUAUACCCUGUAUCUUUCCAAAACACCAUAAAACCUGGACAUGAGUGUACCGUUGUAUCCGUGGGACAUUGCAGAACACACAUAUCAGUGUUUUAGAGCAGUUAAAUGUACAAUGCUAACCAUAUGAAGUUUGCAAAUGAAAUUGUUUUGUGAAAAAUACAAAAAAAAAUUUGAUUGCUCAAUUUGGCCAGGGUAUGCGGCUAAUAAAAUAGAGUGGAUAUACCCCAUUGUGAAUAGCCUUGGUUUUCUACUUUUUGUAAAUGGAAAGCCAUGAUGGAGUUACUUUUAAUUCCUGGGCUAUGGUCUCAAAGGCAACAUAGAUCCAGCAAACCAAUCUGGAAAAUUUCAAUGUGUAAAAACUGAAAAGAGGAAAACCAUAUAUUUGACUGUAAAUUUCCAAAACCCCCAAAAACUACCGUUGUACUCAUGAGACAUCACUGAACACAAAGGUGGAUUUUAUUGUAGUAAAAGCUAACAGUAUGAUGACAUUCACAGUUUAAAUGCCACGCAGAACUAAGAAAAUAACAUUUCUUAAUUUCUCACACUUUUUUUUUAGCUUUUAUUCAUAUUAAAUUAUGUUUCAUAUAUAAAUAUUUCAUGUGAAUUGUGAAUUGUAUUAGUUAAUGCUAUUUGUUUAAUGGGUACAUUGUUAAUUAGCAAUGAUUCACAUGAUGAGUUUGUCAACCAGCUCACUAUUUAGUAACUAAAGUGAUUAUUAUUAUUUAUUAUUUUAUGAAUUAUAUAGCGCCAUCAGAAUCCGUAGCACUGUACAACGGGACACUGAUCAUGUCCCUUUAAGAAUGGAUAAUCAUGAUAGAUGCAUGGAGAAUACUUGAAGAAGAACAUUUUGCAUGGCAAUUUAUUUUGAAGUGUUUUUUGUGUGAAGAGUGUUUCAUUUUGUUCAUUUUACAAAAUGAAACUGACACACUUCAUCAAAGACUCCUGUCUGUCAGUCAUUCAAAUGGUCCAUCGAGAGGCAGGCAAUUGCCCAGAGCACCUGCAUUGGGGAAAUCUGUAAUAAGACAGCAACAUAAAGUCUGGACUGAGUUAGAAAUAAAUGCUUGCAACGACUUAUUUCAUAAGACAUUGGUGGUAUAUCUACUAAAGAGUUAUUUUUUAUUUAUUUAGUAUUUUGACAGUAGAAUGUCUCUUUAAACACUGUCUGCACAAUCUCACAGAACUGUUAUUAAUUGCUUUGUUAUUAAUUUGCUAACUCUCUUCUCACUCAAGCACAGACAUAAACAGUAUCCUAUGCUGGAAAUUUUGUAAAGUAAUUCCACAUAACAGCAGGGUUAACCCCUUAAGGACCAAACUUCUGGAAUAAAAGGGAAUCAUGACAUGUCACACAUGUCAUGUGUCCUUAAGAGGUUAAAGGAACACCCCAUUCUCAAAAUACAAGGAAAAUGAAAAUCACUGUUUAGUAGAGACACCUCCAUUAAAAAUGUACAUGGAUUUAAUUAUGAUUUUUUUUUUCUUUAGGGUAGAUCCAAAAAUAGCUUAUACACUUACCAAUGCAGCCCCAUGAAAAGUUUUUGCAAGGCAGGUGCUCUGGACAAUUGCCUUCCUCUUAAUUUAGCUUUACUGAGCUAAACAAUUGGAAAGUAAGAGGACAGGUUUACUAACUGACAGAGCUGCAUGCAUCUACCCAGGUCAAGGUACAUAUAUAUGUUCUUUGUAUUUUUGCAAGGAGUUUCACUGUUUCCAUUGUUUCCAGUAUUUUUUCUCAGUAAUUUUUAAAUGUGCCAAGAGGACACACUCUUCACACACAAAGAUCUUUAGUAAGCUGUAGUGCUUUAGGAGACUGGAGUAUUUCAUCCUUCUGAUAUUUAUAAACUGAGCAUUGUUACGAUUGAUAAAAGCUUCUAUGUCUAUAGACAAACUUGAAAAUGGGAGAAAAUAAGUUUAUUAGCUUUUUUAAACUCAUUUUUUAAUGUCACCUGUAUUAGGAGGUUAGCAAUACGUUUGUAUUUCUAUAAAGACUCAAUAUGAAAGUAUUUAUAGAUUGAAAAAAAAAAAAUCAGUGAAUAAUCUAUAUUUCUUUAUGUUCAGUUGAGUCAUUCCUUAUGGUUUUAGGUUUUAUGCUAUUAACAGAAUACUGUUAAUCUGUCUGCAGUUCCUCUUCAAGCACCAAUUGUGAACAUUUCUGAAGUUGUCAAGAACUCUGUAAAGCUAUCUUUUCAUACGGAACACCAUGAAGAAAUGACUUGUUAUUUACUGUUCUAUAAAUACCUGGAUUCCAAUAAAAGGAGAAGACAG